rnacentral:lncRNA from 1 species
GAAUCAUGGUAUCCAAAUGUGCUAGACUUUGGAGAGACAAUCACAUCUGAAACCUUUGAAGGGUAUGUCCAAAUCGGAUUGCAAAACGACCACCGCAGCGGCGAUCGCAUCGAAGAAAGACCUGGAGAAUUCGGUCAUACCUCAGAUCCUGGAAGGGUUUACCCCGAUACACAAUUUAUGGGACUCGAAGAUAGUCCGACAAAAAUAUUGACAGAAACGCAUGAUGUCUAUUUGCGGGCGGCUGUGCAUAUAUGCGACUUUGAAGGCAACUCUGACGGUCAUAGCAUCCAAACCAUUCUAACUCAUUUAGAGCCACGCCGAGUAAUACUUGUUCGUGGUAACCCAUCAGAUACCGACUUUCUGCGCAUGCAGCUUCAGAAGUCACUUUUGCGGGCAGAAAUCCAUGCGCCGAAACAAUCUCAGAUGGUUGAAUGUAUCUCAGAAAACACGACAUUUCGCCUUGAGCUGUCCCAGGACCUCUUGUCCCAUACCCAUAUGCGCGAUGUGGCGGGAUAUCAAGUUGGUUGGGUGGAGGGCAAUGUUUUGAUAUCCAGAGGAGGAGGUGACCCUGCAGCUACACUAGUCCCAGCCAAGUCGGGAAUGAUUUGCGAAGCACAGCGCACUGGACUGCAACCAAAUACCGGAGCAUCUCAAACUGCGACAAGGGAGACAAGAACACAAGACGCUCGCGUUGGUUUAGACUUCAGUCGUGAAAUAGAUGAGCAAUCGACAGCUUCAGAGCUUUUCCUAGAUGAACUUGUUGUGAAAAAACCUGCAGCACUUGUUGGAAGCCUCAAACUUAGUGACUCUAGGUUGGCGUUGGCGGCAGCAGGUUGCGCAACUGAAUUCCGUGGAGGCGCGCUGAUGUGCACAGGAGACAAAGUACGUGUUAGGAAAACGGUAAAUGUGAUGGGUGCAGAAAACCUUCUACUCGAAGGGAAUCUGUGUGAUACAUUUUUCAGUGUACGUUCGACGUUGUACCAUCACCACCAAGUAUAGGUGAGAAAAAUCAAAUCAACGGGUGAAGUCGUCAGACGGGCUCUUGAGGGACCAUGUAUGCAUGGCCACAAAUGCAGGUAGAAGGCGAUACACAUCUCCCGAGCCCGCCUGGCUAGGUGGAAAACCAGUAUGACGUCUGCCAACUUGAAAUUUAGAAAACACGAACGAAACUUUAUUAAUCGGCGGCCUUAGACUAUAUAUAGAUACUUUUAUAUAUUUUAAGGGUUACAUAUAUACUCGAAGCAAGGAUAUAUAUGUAUAUACCUUGAUAAUAAUAAUAUAACUAUUAUAUACCUCAUCAUAUAUAUGAAUUUAAAAAAACUCUCCAGGUAGGGGUCGAACGAACAGACAGAUAGACAGGGUCAUGGACGUGAUCUGUUGAGGGGGUCUGUCCCCAGGUGGGUCGGCAUAGCCUACGACCAACGUGAGCGCAGUGCUGAUGGCGCCGUUUACGCCGCGGAUGCAGACGUACGCGAGACGUGCGCCUCGAGCAGACUCUCGGACUGACGAACACACACAGGUGACAGGUGUGUACAAAUAUUAUUAGUCACGUAAAUAGUCGUCUUUAAGGGUAACUACAAAUAAACGUCGACAUAUGAGCAAACACACAUCAUCACUAAACCGACGUUGACGAAUUAAAACCCUUAUUACAAUAUUAAUGUUAUUAGGAACGAAUAGACCCGUGGUUCCUGGUUGACGAUAAAACCCUUACCAGGUUUUCGUGUGACAUUUUUGCAAGAUGUUUAUUAUUUCCCGUAUAUAUGUACCUUGUAGAUAAUACCUUCGUAUAUGUACGACACGCGAGUUAUUAUUAGCAAAAAUGUAAAUCGCGCAUAUAGACAGUCGGCUAAAAUAAGGGUUGUGCCGAAUAAUACAGCAGUAAGAAGAGUGUACGAAGGUAAUAAGCAAGCGGCUAACAAUAUAUUAACUAACGCUUGCAUAUCUAUAUUAUUACCUUCGUUCGAUUCUUUCGUACGAAUGAAGGUUUUCUAAUGGUAGUCUAUUCUACCUUCGAAGGUAUUAUUGAUAAAACCUCGCAACUUCGAGAAGCUCAAGCUCACAGGCAGGACGUAUCGCGCCAGGUAAACGUCAUUUGCGGGGGAUUCAAAGCCAAUCGUUCUCGCAAGCUCAGCAACACACAAUAUCCACAAUUGACUGACAAAGUGGCAAUGAGGAUCUUGAUCAAGGGUGGCGUGUGGAAAAACACGGAGGAUGAAAUUCUGAAGGCGGCAGUGAUGAAGUAUGGGAAGAAUCAGUGGGCCCGGAUCUCGUCCCUCCUCGUUCGCAAGUCAGCGAAACAAUGCAAGGCCCGUUGGUAUGAAUGGCUUGAUCCAUCGAUAAAGAAGACCGAGUGGACCCGACAGGAAGAUGAAAAGUUGCUCCACCUUGCAAAGUUGAUGCCCACCCAGUGGCGGACUGUAGCCCCAAUUGUGGGCCGCACUCCCGCUCAAUGUCUCGAGGUAAGGGUUCGCAAUAAAAAAAUAGAUUUUCACCUGCGCGUAUGCAUCCCAGUAAGUUUUAUUUUGCAUGUGAGCUAACUAACGAACCUUUCCAGAGAUAUGAAAAACUGCUAGAUGCGGCCUGUCAGCAAGACAGCAACGACGCGUUGGAUGAUCCUCGCCGUCUCAAGCCUGGUGAAAUCGAUCCAAACCCUGAAUCCAAACCUGCACGACCCGAUCCUGUAGAUAUGGAUGAGGAAGAAAAGGAAAUGCUCUCGGAGGCGCGCGCAAGACUUGCGAACACUAAAGGGAAGAAAGCAAAACGAAAAGCAAGAGAGAAGCAGCUAGAAGAGGCAAGGCGACUCGCAUCGCUGCAAAAGCGGCGCGAACUAAAGGCAGCUGGUAUAGAUACUGUCAAGCGGGCGAAACGGUUGAAGGGCAUCGACUACAAUGCCGAAAUUCCUUUUGAAAGAAAACCAGCUCCAGGUUUUUUCGACGGUAGUCUUGAGCGGCGGGCACUCACACUUUUGAGCGAGGAAACUUUUGAACCAAAGGGACUGGCUGACUUUGAGGGCGGUCGUCAACACGACAUUGAAGAAAACCUUAGAAAGCAAGACGUGAAACGGCAAAGGAUAGUUCAACGUCACGGUGUCCCACAUGUUAUGCAGACUGUCGACAACAAUGAUCCUGGGAAUCACCGGUUACACAGUGAGCUCAACCUUCCACCCCCUCGGGUCCGGGAAAGUGAGUUAGACCAUGCCAUCAGAGCUAACGGCGUCCUCGCACACCAUGAGCGUUCCUCUGCGCACACAGUAUAUCAAACGUUGCCAGAUGACAAACGAUUUGGGAAUCUUGCAAGAAUUGGUAUGCCGAGUGGCCCUGAUGGCAUUUCCGUCUCCAGCAGAUCUUCUCCUGCGCAGAGUAUUAUAGGUAACGAGCAUUUAUCCUCUCAGUUUAGUCAACAGAACGAUGAUGUAUGGGUUGGACAUGACGUAGUAACAGCUGCUGGUGCAGUGAAAUGUGCAAUGGCCUCUCUUCCUGUGCCCAACAAUGAGUAUCAGAUUGUUUUGCCGACACCAAAACCUGAACAAAAUAAUGCCGACCACUUACGUGAUUUCGAUCGUAUGAAUGCGAAUCUCAACUCAUCGUCUUCCCCAAUUGAACGCGCGACGCACUUGAAAUCGAAGCUAAGAUGUUUGGCGCGACCCUCUUCGUUUUGUAUAGACUCAAGAACCGACACUUUGAGAUGCAGCGCAGAACAAAUCAUCAGCAGAGAGCUGGGACAAAUGCUUGAGCAUCACUCAUUAGAGCAUGCAUUGCACGACACAGCUCGAUUGUUGACGUCCCCGAUUUCAUUGAAGCAGUUGGCAUUAUCUGCCGCCCUUAUUACCAGGGAAAUAAAUGCGCUCAGGUGUACAAGCGAUCAGCUAGUGAACAGUGAUGAAAUUAUCUACGCCUCCAACUAUGCGCACAACGACUGCAUCAUGGACAAAUCAACUUCACAUGUCAUUCUCAGCAAAAUAUAUGGAAGCUACGAUACUAAUACUACACCUCCCUCUGGUGAACACGCGCGCGCUUGUACGUCUAUGAUGCGCGACGCUCGGCGAGCAGGUAAAAUCGGGCAUAGAAUAGAAAUCGUCACUUCAGGCCUGCAACAGCGUUCGGCAGAGUUACACAGAAGACUAAGUCACAUCUACGCCGAACUGGUUUCAAUGGAUCAUCAGUACUGCUCUUAUAACACGUUACUCUACCGUGAGCAAGAAACCUAUGUUCAGCGGGUGCGGUCGCAGAAAAACAUGAUCACCCUCGCAUCAGAGAAAGAACGCCAACAUCAAUUUCUGCACACCCAGCGUGCAUCACUUUUAAGAACUUCGGAGCCGCAAGUUGAGAUCUGUGAAAAUAAACGCUAAAUAGAAUUUUCAGGAAGAAGCGUCAAUCUGAUGCGGAUGAUUCAAUUCAGUCGGGCAUGGAUAUAGUGAUCUAUCAGAGGCGUCGGUGGGUGCAACCUGAGAGUUCAGUUUCGUCAGUGCUUCGUCAUUAGUUUUGCAUGUGUUUCAUUGAAUCUUGCGCAGGAAUAGUGUUUAAAAGGUCUCCGAUCUGUUUAUAUUAAAACGCGUCGAGUGAUGCUACGUGGGCGACGGCGGACCUUGUUUUGACUGAGUAAAUAUUCUCGAUGCUGACAUGGAUAGAUGAUUCACCGACUCGCGCGUUUUUUCUUGAUGACUUUAUGACAGGAGUUUUCAAAAUCCAUCAGGGAAACCGCGUUGCGAUGGAAAUAGUCGUCACGUCAACCGGGCGCUGAUCAGAUUCCUUUCACAAUUACUAGUCAUUCAGUUCAACGAAGCAGAAAAACUCGAUAGUUUCGCGGUCGUAAUACAACACGAACCAUAAUUUCCGCACUCAUAAUGUGUUGAUUCUGAGAAAAUCAGAAACUGAUACCAUCAUUUUGUUGAUUUGAGUGCAGCCGCUCGAUUAUAUUUUUCCAGUACUUGCCCGUGCGUUCCUUUCGAUAUGGCAUCCUCACUGAGAAUAUCCCAAAUUGCAACUUGCCCCUUGGACCCAGCACAUCCAACCAGGUAAGGUACAGAAGAUGAAAAUGCAGCAGUAAAUAUGGCUCCAAUACCAGGGUUAUUCUGUGCCACCAACGAUGGCUGAUCGGCUGUAAUAUCCCACAGUUUCAACGUUUUGUCCAUUGACGACGUGACAAGAAGGUUUGAAACGCCUGGAGAGAGGCUGAGACAUGUUGAUGCUUUUUCAUGUGCAGAAAAGCUAAACACAGGUUCAGAAUUUUUGCCCAUCCUAGAAUCGAAUGAAAAAACUUCGCCACUCUCACUUGAUGCAAUAAGUUGUGUGGGCUCACUGUAUUUCCACAAAGCGCACUCCACGUCUGCACCGAUGCUCCAUACCAUCGCGGCUUUGCUUGAAUCUCGAACAUCGACUAAGGUGACGAGACCGUCGAAUCCACCGGUGAGCAAGACACUGGGCUGGAAACGAUUCCAUUCAACAGCUUGCACCUUGCCCGAAUGAUGUGAUAAAGUUUGCUGUGUCGCUUGCGUAAUGACGUCCCAAAUUCUUACCGUGCAAUCGGCUGAAGCAGAGGCUAGCACAUUCCGAUGUUGGGUGUUCCAGGACAAUCCAAGGACAGCAUCAGUGUGACUGUCCUUCCGAAGGUCAGGCAGUGGGCUCUUCGAGCCGCUUCUUCUUGUUGCUUUCAGAUUCUUGGAUGCUCGUUUCCCUACGUGUUUGAGAUUUCUGAUUUCUCGAUUUCCACCCUUAAUGCCCUCUUGCAUCAGCGCAUGCUCAUAACCGCCAAGUGUCGCUUUCGGCUCUAGAGCAUCAAUUACGUUGAGAUCCCAGAUUUCUAUACCUGGAUACAUGGUUCCCACGGCGACACUAUUUGAGUGGGACUCAUCUUGUCCAGGAAAAGGGCAGUCCAACCAUGUGAUACACAAUGGAAACGCUGGUAACAGUAGAUCAUGAUGACAGAAUAAGUUACCCUCAUCAGUUCCGCUCAAUACGGGCUCCUCAUACACAUACAUUUCAAGGUGACUGACAUCGUCAUCUGUGCGGGCUGCUAAGAGGAUGAGAUCAGUCGCUCGCAGCUUGAAGUCAUCCGGAAAGUCCUCUACAUCUCUGUCGUUCUCAUCUUUAACUGUCAUGUACGCGUCUUCAUCGUUGUGUGCAUGGAACAUUGAACUUUCUCCUCCAAAAAUUCGCGCGGCUUUUACAGCUUCAUCAUUUUCGUCGUCAUCGUCAUAUCUAUCCAUAUCAAGCUUGGCCAUCGCCGUGUCGAGACUAUCGCCGCCUUCGCAAGUUUCCGAGGCAUCCACUUGAAAUUGUGCGUGAGAUAUCCGCGUGGCACGAGACGCUUGGUUGUCGUCAGCCAUCUCGUCUUCUGUCGUGUUUGCUGAGCUUACUUCUUCCCACUCUCCUGAUGCGCUGUCCCCUGCAACCUGGCGGAUCUGUACAAAACCCCCUUCUGCUGCGAUCCCCGGGCAUAUCUCAACGAGGUCUUCAACGGUUGCAGGGCCUCGCACAUGUUUAGGGUCUUCGGCCGCAACACCUAGUGGUAGCCAUGCUAUGGCAGAAAUCAUGUCCAAUCUCCACGGAGCGGUUGAAUGUAGUGAACCUCUUGGCUAAGUACAAGUUUCUGGCACGGGCGGCGGACGGGUUUCCCUGGUCGUUCCCGAUUCUUUUCCCACGGUAUCACUCUUUGCAAAACUGAUGUCCGAACCCAACCCGAAAAUUUCAGCAAUUUUUGGCGGAAAUUUACUGCCUAUGGUUUUUUAGUUACCCAAGGUAAAUACACGUACAUGGAUUUCUGACUGGAUUUCAUACGUCAACGUCACGCGAGUUACUCAUGUAAAUCGCGUAUAUAGGUCCGCUGAAAUUUAAUUUCCGUGCGAUGGUCUGACUGUUUGCUCAGUGAAAAAGUCCGAAAAAGUCCGGCGGAUAUCCGCCUUUCAAAAUCUCCGGUAAAAAUUUCGGGCUGGGUUCGGACAUAUCAUCAAGUUAUCUCAUCAUCAUCAGUAUGGAUAGUGUGCGAAGAGUAGUGAUGAGGUUUAUUUAUAUUCCAUCUGGGUCAAUAUCUCGGCGGAAAUCUUUCCUGGUUCUGUCAGUCCCACGCGAUCGUUUUAGUCAACCGCACAUGGGCAGGGACCUUUCGGAUAUUAGAUAUUAGCCGGUUUUCCCACCGUGGGACGGCGUGCUCUAGCCCACAGGGCCGGACACAUUGCGUGGGUUACACUACGCAAAAAACCAAGGCCAGGGUGGAAGAGAAGGCGAAGGGAACGCCGAACGUCCCGAGCGGACGACGGAAGUCGCCCGCGAAGGCUGUCCUGGUUUUGCGAAGAGUGAUGUAAAAAAUCGGACAGUUGCAUUUUUUCUCGCUCGCGCUACGCCAAUUGUGUUUAAAUGUGCGCUUUCGGGCGCGAAACGUGUUGGAUAUUACCACUGGAAAGCGCGGAUAUCGCUCGGUCCGUGGCGCCCGGAAGGACAAACGACCAUAUUCGGGUGAUGCAUGGAACCAGUAGACGAAUCACCGGCAACGAGAUGGGAUAGUUCGACCGCUGGCCCGUGCUGUGCGUUCAUUCAACGUCUGGUCAGUUUCCAUACACAGGUCUCCGUACAUGCCGUGCGCUCAUCUAGACACUCGUGUUAUAGAUACAACAGCCAGGACUAAACCUCGAGGAUUGGAUUUAGACUCAUGGAUAUGCCCGACGUUUGACUACUCAACUUUCCGACUCGAACACGGCCCUGAAUAAAAUGAUGGCGAGGCUGCGUGUAAGCAUUAUCUCUCCUCACAAGUAUCAUAUCAUGACCAGCGCAAGGCUGAUCCAAGGGAUGCUUCUCAGAGCCAGUUGAUUGAUAUCGAGCUCGCCCAAAAGGUUCAAACUGGCAUCCCCAAACCAGCGACUUGUGUAUUAAGCUCAUCGACCAUCUCCCCUGUUAAUUUUGUCGCAAGCGUCGAUCCAGUCGCUAUAAACAUCGAUCGGCUCGCUUAAGUGCGAGAUGAUGGUAGUGUAACGCUGCCCGCAUAUUGUGCACUCUACCAUGCCCUUCCCUGUGAGCUGGUCCAUCUUAGCGACCACCGCAUUUUCAUGGUUGCAGAAAGGACAAGUAAACGCGGUGGCCACUUUUGGAGCAACCUUUUUUGGUGGCGGUUUACUGGACUUCCGCUUUCCCUGGGAGAAGGGGAGAUGAAUUAGCGUUCAUUCAAGUCAGCAUUUUCGGUAGUGCUCAAAGCUUGGUUCUACACAUCUGAUGUGGAGAAUGAGGUCGUCCACAUUAUCGCGAAGGGCGUAGAUGAACUAACCAUGUAUGUGCGCGUGCGGAUCACGAAUGCAGUUCCCCACGACGUUGUCCAGGAUUCGAAGGUACCAAGGUAAUUAAGAAAUACACUAGAAAUACGAAGAUAAAUAAUACCUUCGUAUCCAUAUCUUCGUACAAAAAUAUAUAAAAAUAUAUGAUACCUUCAUAUUAAUAUAAUAAAUAAUAGAAGGUUUUUAAUUAAUACGAAGGUACCGAAGGUAAUAAAAUAAUAGACAAUUCUCCACAUGCAUCGUUGACUUUUGGUCGGCAGGGAGCGAGGUUUUACCAGUUAAGUCCAAAAGUUAACGGAGGUGGUUAAUUUCCUGGUUUAUUCCGUCAAUCAUCAUUAUUUUAAUCCCUCAAAUUAAUACGGGCGUCCUUGGUUAAAUUAUUUUACCCCGCUCUUGACCGUCGUGGAGAAAACGGCAAAAAGAGCCUCGAUGCGUUAAUGUUAGAUCUCCUUCUGCCCUCGCGAACUCAUCGCGACCAUGACAGAUUUGAACGCGAAUGCGCUAGAGCAAGACGCAGACGACGGCGAUGGUUCCCAUGCAUACCGUGCGGCGCAGGAAUUGCUGAAUCAUUUUUGGUGAUUCGCGUCAUCAGUCUAUGCACGGCAGUGCUUUGGAUGGCAGGUGGUUGACACCCGGGAGGGCGCGGAUCUCGGCGACACUACGGCCCGCGUCCAUACCGGCCUUCGCCAACAUCGAGACACGAACGUCGUGCGCAACCCCGCGCCACUGAGCGACCCGGUCAUUUUGAUUCCCGACCCAGCGAUCCGGUCGCCUCGUCGGCUUCCUUUCUCGGCCAUUGUUCGGCCGCCUAUGCAUCGGCUACAUAUUUUAUUUGGAGCCAGGGUGCAUAAUAUAUUUCGUUACGAGAUAUAUGGAUAUAUAAUACGAAGGGACGAAGGUAUAUGGACGAAAUAGACCAGGAAAUUAAACCUCCGACUUAACUUAACUUUUGGACUUGACUUAUUAAAACAUUAUCAUAGACUAUAUAGCAUAGAUUGACUUGAUUGAUUGUUGAUUGGUUUGUCUUAUUAUUUAAUAUUCCGAAGUAAGGUAUUUAAAUGGUAUUUAUACUGUAUGUAUUUAUUAGAUUGACUUGCAUUGAUUGGUUUGUCAUAUUAAUAUGCGUUGAUACAUACGAAAUAAACAUGCGAUGAAGGUACAUGCGAAUUAUCUGUAGUCUAUUUAAAAAGAAAGGACGAAAUGGACGAACGAAUAUAGUAGUAAAAUACUGUAAUAUAAAUAUUGUAUAAAUAAUAGCUUAAAUAAUGAAACUAUAUGGAUACCGUUAAUUAGUUAAUUAUUCCAAUAUUCCAUAUAUCUUCGUUCGUAAUAUUAUUACAUAUCUUCAUAAAUAAAUACACAUUAUUAUUUAUUAUUAUGAUAUAUUCAUAUAUAUUAUCAUCAUUAUUAUUAUAUUUUUCUAAUAUAUCAUAUCACACGUUAAUAGUAUUAUUAUCAUAUUAUUAUUAUACUAUUAUUUUAUAUCAUAUUAUUAUUAUUAAUGUUUGCCCUUAAUAAUAAAAAGUUAUUUUAUCAUAUAAUAACCUUCCAGCAGGUCGUUCGUUCGUAAGGGUUACGUACCUUCGUACAUACCUUCAUUCGUUCGUUCGUACGUAUACUUGUAUUAGAUACGGGUUUUUAGUUUUACGAGUACAGGUAAUUUUUAUCUGUACUUGUAUUAACCCACAGAAACUUCGGACGCCUCGCCACGAACAAAGUGGGUGGUUCGGCCUUCGCACAUAGCUUCUAGUACGCUAAGAAUAUUUUACGGAUUGCGCGUUGCCAAUCAUGCCGAGUUGCCGUCCAUAUUAAGGCAGCAGUGUACUUGUGGCACGGUCAAGUCAGCUCAAUGACACGGCAAACAUCGUUUGUACUCUGCUCAUUCGCUGCUUUCUUGGGUCAGGUAGUGCUGGGAGACACCGAAUCGAUACAUUCCAAGGUCGACGUGUCUCGCGCUCACUUGGACUCGACGAGCGAGCUUUCGCGUGUCCGGUUGCAAAACGUAGAGCACGAAGGUGCGAGCUGCGAAAGUCAUUAUUUUUGUAUCGCACACCUCGACAAAGUUUUCACUCGCAUGCCAACUGCAACACUUGAUGAUAAGUGGGAUAUAGGAGAUUCGCAAGCUUGGCUCGAAAGCAAUCAGCAGGGCAGUGAAAUAUGGAGCGGGCAGGAUCGGAUCAUGAAAGCCUGGGGCGUUUUUCAUUUGUACGACAUGAAUCGGGGCAUGAAGAUCCUUUUCGAUGCCCGAGAUGAACGUGCAGUUUUGUCAUACUGGUGCUCGAUAUCAAAGUGCGUCUGGAACAUCCUAGCAAUUGAUGGAAAACUUCGUCAUGGCGAGCCUCACGUGUGCGCAAAAUUGAGAGCCUUUACUUUGGAGCGGCUGUUGUUGCAAGUAAGCACCAGAGCUUUGGAACCUGAGUUGCGCACUGGUCCGGCGACGGGGACAGGAGGUAUUGCGAUUGUCACUGCGAGUACUCCCAAUCUCGUCAACUCGUCCGCCAUCUCAGCAGAUUUGAACAUAAAAUAUGCUGAAAGGCACGGUUAUGCAUUCUAUCAAUAUCGCGACACCAUGGUUCCCAAACAUAUCAUCACAUGGAACAAAGUCCGCGUUGUGAUGGAUAUGUUGACUGCAACGAGACAUGAGUGGAUAAUGUGGAUCGACGCAGAUGCUGUCGUGACAAAUCGAAAUUUCUCGAUUGAAGGUAUCAUCAAGGCCACUGAGAGCUCAAAAAUUGAAAAGCAGAGUGAAGAUGACAGCAUUGAUCUCAUUGUUUGCAACGAUAUUGGUGGAUGGCCUAUCAACACGGGUGUUAUGCUAUGGCGCAACUCAGAUUGGGCAAGAAAACUCCUGAAUAAGCUAUGGGCAACUGAACAUAUUCCGCACAUGCGCGGCGCUGAGCAAGCCCAGCUCAUUAAGCUUCUGCGACACGAGGAUCCUUUACGAAAACGACACGUGAUCCUUGACCAGACUGCAUUCAACGCCCACCCCAGCGUUCAUCGUGACGAAUUUUUCAUCAUACACAUGAUGGGAUUUUCCGAAGCAGAGAGGGCAGAGAAAUUUAAGCAUUACCAACUGAAACUGGAUCGUCCUAUGACAUGAUGAUCUGCAUCGAAUGGUUUGUUUAUUUCUUGACAUCAGCAGAAACACCCCAUGUUUUUAUUCUUCCAUCAGGGAUCGCGAACAGUACCAUGGGAGAGUCGCUGCGCACAAACACUUCGUCGACGAUAAAAUACCCUCUUCUUUCGAGUUGAAUGACGGUUCCUUUCUGCAAAGUUCGCAUGUUUGCAUCGCCAUGGGCGCGAGUUUCAAUCUUCGUCGUUGCGUUUACAAUAUCUGCCAGGUUGUCGGCAUCUUCGACUUUUUUCUUGGUGAUCAAGUAGUCAAAAUCGAAUAAACUUAAUGGCACCAGGUUGCCAAUGUCAGGAAGCCAAGUGAGCUUGAGCCUUGUUGACUUUACUGAACCAUCGAGGUUAAGAUGUGCCUGGAUUGAGACAAUAUCUUGCCCUGCGGAAUCUUUAAUGAUCCUAUCAAUCACACAAUUUCCCCAAUCCAUUAGCGUGACUUCUUCGCCCUCUCGGACUGACAUUGCAUCUUCCGCAUCAAGCCAGAUUCGAGACGUCCGCGUUGUAGCCUUGACACCAGCUGGGGGGUACUUCUUGUGUUUUGCCACAGAAACAACCUCUGGAUGCGACGGGCCAUUAGUGAUAUUGACCGGAACUUUACCCCUAUCUGAGACCGCAACAUGUCGUGGACACACAGGAUCGAUGAUGCGCUUAUUCAGCGUCCAAAGCUUUUCCCAUUCCAUCAAGUUAACGUUACGGCUAGCUCCUUGCAUCAAAAUGAACUCUUUCAAAGCCUCCGUCUGCAAACCGCGACGCGUCAUGCCCUGAACUGUUGGAAACCUGGGAUCAUCCCAGCCAUCUGCGUAUCCUUCAUCAACAAACCACUGCAGCUUUCGCUUAGAAAGCGUCGUAUACACGAAGUUCAGACGAGAAUAGUCCCAGAUGUGCACCUGGCGCGUGCCCAUGAGUUUCUGAACCCAACGGUACUGUGCUUCACGAUCUCGGUACUCAGAUGUCCGCAACGCAUGUGUAACACCCAUGAAGUAGGGUGACGAAAACAGCGCUCAGUCGGUUUACUUUCCACAAAAAUCGUAGAGGGCGAUGCAUGUGAAAUAUGGGAGCUCCUUACCUCAAGUGCAUCUACGAACGGGCAAGCGCAAUCAUAGGUAGGAUACACUUUGUAUUUCGUGCCAGUGCGGUGAUGUGGGAUAAGAUUGCACCUGAAGGCCACCGGGUCCCUUAGUGCUCCAUUGUCAUUUUGCAUGUCCAUACGAAAGCGUGCCGCGCACAGAAGACCCUUUUCGUCGCCAUCUAUCAUGUGCUUCCAGAGGUUGAGGUUAGUUUCAAUAGAAUUCGUGCGAGCAGCAGAUUCAAUUCUAUGAACGCGCUCUUCUCUCAUUUUGUCCAUGGGCGUAUCAUCGAUGUACAUUUUUCCCUCUUUUAUCAGCCUCGUUCCCAUAUCCAAUAUCUGCUCGAAAGAAUCGGAAGUAUAAGUGACCAUAUCGGGCUUAAGGCCAAGUAUCUCACAAUCACGCAAUAUGUUGUCUACAAACUCGUCCUUCUCCUUGGAGGGAUUGGUGUCAUCAAAUCGAAUGAUGAGCUUUCCAUUGUAGUGACGAGCAAAGUACUGGUUGAGUAACGCAGCUUUGGCAUGACCUAUGUGUAAAUAACCGGAAGGCUCUGGAGGAAAACGAGUAACGACGUUGCCGUUUGAAGCACCCUCAAGGUCUAUGUCAAAGGAGCCCCCAACUUGCUUUCCUUUCUGUUUGUCCUGAGUUGCCGCGUUGCUUUUGGCGUGCGAACAAGGCCGUUUGCCUUUAACAGUUACUUCGGUGACGAUAUCAACAAAUCUGGGAUCGCGUUGGAAAAGUUCAUCCCAUCGUUUCAGAUGGUAAAGUGGCGGAGAAUCCUUGACAGCGUCCCACUGGCGUGAAGCGAAGAGUCGUUCCCAUAGAGCAAGAUCUGCGAUUGUCAAACCUGGACCGACAAAGUAGGAGCGCGUAGCCAUAAAGGAAGAGAGCAUUUCGCAGAUUACGUUGAAGCUCGCUCCAUUUACAAGAGCGUCGGACUGGUCUAGCCACUGAUCGAUCUGUGCAGCGAGUGGACAACGUUCGUAAGAUCAAGAAUGCCGCUGAUGCCGGAAAAAGUUUCGGGUACAAAAGCUGUUUUCGAAGAACGCGCAGUGAAGGCGGCACAUCUUUCGGAGCAGGGAUCCGCGAAGAAAACGGGUCGCACCAACACCGGGGCAAAUGCAUCCGCGCCGUACAAAUUUGCACUCUUAGACGAGCGUCGGGCUAUAAAUCGCAAGAUCGAGUGCACGCCGAACAACUUCGUUCCGUCGUCGAAAGUGAGGGUGGCAGUGGCGGGGCUCCGUUGCUCUGUCCAAGGUACGCGUUUCAAGGGUACACCGCCGAUGCGCGAUGCAAUAAGCACGGCGACUGGAGGUGCGGCAUUCCAAUAUGAUAGCACGGGUGGAUUCAUGACGAGGUUAUGUGCCUCGAGCUCGAAAAGCGCGGCGGCUAGUGUCGGCGUGAGAAAACGAAGGUGCGAGGCCGAUAUCGCGAGUCAAAUAAUUUUCACUUCGAUUAUGGAUACUUGUACGUAUGUAGCUAUCUAGCUAGACAAUGGAUUUCCAUCUGGUUGAGCCACCCUAAAUAAUACCUUCGUAUCUAUACCUUCGUUCGUAAGCAAUAACUUCUAAUAAUAAGUUACGAAGAUAUAUUCUGGAUUUCAGGCAGCUGUGGACACCCCGGAGAUACGACUUCUACUACAACUACUACUACCGUAUGGGAGGAUUAACUCAAGAAUGACGAGUUAUCUGAAAAUUUUCGUUUUGAUCGAUUUUCACUUUCAAAACGCUAUUUUUCCCUUCAACCGCGCGGCGCCGUACGGCAUGACGAGCGCGGUUCCGAGGGAGCAAAGCCGGACGAGCGCGGUUCCGAGGGAGCAAAGCCGAACGAGCGCGAGGAGCGCGGAGCGUCCCCUCGCUCUCGACCCUCGCCCGCACUCCUCCGCUGCCGCGCGAGCGAGUCUGAGGUUUCUGGUGCGCUCCGCGAUGGAGCGAAGGACCUCGCGAGGCGAAAUUUCCUUUCAACUCCUUUUCAAACGCUACCCGAUCAAAAAUUUCGGGAGCAACCGGGCGGACAAAUCUGAAAAUUUUCCCCUUCGGGGUGUUCACAGCUGCAUCCAGAAUAUCGAUUUGGGUUAACGAUAGAUGAUAGGUCUCGGAUUAAAUAGGUCUAUCUGAUGAGUUAACGUUGGAAAGUAAAUUUGAUGACUAUUUAGGGCAAACAGUAUGUCAAGGUAUUUGUCCAUACGGUUUGGGUUUGCAUGGGCUUUUAGUUCCGAUCGAGCAUCCGUACGAAUUCUCAACCAUGUGGUUUAGUCAUAUUAUGAUACUGUAUGUUUAAUUGAUAUCGUAUGAUCCGUGCAAGGUGCCUCCCUAGCGAAUGUUCUCGGUACCUUCAAACCAGUCGCCAACUCUACGUGUAAUCAUUAUUGCGCUUGAAAAUGGAAUACGACGAUGAACAUUCAUGUUCAAAUUUGAAUAUGGAUACGAAACUGAUAGUCCCUGCUGAUACAUAUGACAGCGAUACGACGAUAAAUAAUUUUACGGACCCAAUAAAAUGACGAAUGAUGGACAUAAUCGAAAACCAGCACGGGACCGAACUCACUCGCUUGGGCGAGUUCUGCGGAAUCAGGCGCAAAGUCAAGAUUGGGAACCUAACGCACCCGUGAGCAGAGAUUCACGAAACAAUCAUCUCUGCUCCUACCCCCGACGUUUCUUCAUGAGCGGAGGAGCGACACAGGUGCGGCGUGUAAAAAUACACUCUCACCUGACUGUUCCGAUGAAACAAACCUUUUUUGUUCAACGUUAGUUCCCCUUCCCCAAAAAUUUUAAGUUGACCGGAAUUGAACUCGAUCCAGGUUCCCGACUAUAGUCGAAAACAUGCCAUUGAAGGCGAGCGUCAUGUAUCUCCAAAACAUGAUAUUGACGUGCCGGGAGAACACCGUGUUAUGGAAGGCGAUUUCCCUGAGACUUUGUUGCCUGCAAGUCGUCUGCAAGACAGAUACUUUCACGGAGCCUCCAACUUCGACGUAAGCCACGAAGCACCUUGGAGAGGUAAACACAAACCUCCGAUAAAUUUUGGCCAUCCGCGUGGCUAUUCUGAAGAUCCUAUCAGGGAGCAUUGCCCGAGUAAUUUUGGGAAAGGCGGUGUCCGUCACUAUCGCAGGCGACUGGCAGGCCCAAUUUCCACGUCUCUAGAGACAAAGCUUUCAUAUUCUGCUGGGGGUCUAUGCCCAGAUAAGGGGCCUAUCUUCUACGGGCAUCGAAACACUAUCGGGACGAAAAGUCCCGGAAAGCCGAAUCAACGGCGUAUACCAAAUUUGAUUCAGCGCCAAAAAGACAACUUCGUUGGUAUGUCUCUCCCACCGCCGGACCCUUUGCCGAAGCCGCCGCCCUGUGCUCCCCCUCCGUAUGCCCGUGACAGUGAUAAGGCACAAAAGCCAAUGCAAUGGAGAAUAAACGCGACGAAUGCUAGCCACCUCUUCCGCGAUGAGACAGAGUAUUCAGAUGAUAUCAAGCAACAGCAACCGAUUCGGGGCCAGCGAGUUGGAAAGUUUUCACCAGCGUAUGAGGCGGGGAAGAGGGAGCUGCCGAGUUGGGGAUGGAACCCCAAAAAAGGGAAAAACGACACUUCUGUACCUGAUGUUUUGGGCACGCACGAUUUCCACAACGCCGGUAAAGGUCGCAAGGGUCGGGCUAACAGCGAUCUUCCCGAAGGUGAAUAUGCUGGGGCAACAACAAAAACCAUUGCAGGCAAAGAACCCUGUAAGAGGAUGGUUAAGCCAGAGUGGGACCCAAGUCGUCAUAAUACCUUCGAAACUGUCGGCGUCACCCCCAAACAUCUGGGACUGAUUGCAGAGUCCCCCAAAAAGCCUAGCAUCGCACUCCCAGCACAUCCUGCAGGGGCGCUACAUGAUCCAAAAAUGCAGAUAAAUAGGAAAAAGAAAUGCAUGGUGAGCCCGCAUAAUACCUUCAACACAGUUGGUGUAACACCUCAAAUGAUGGGUGUACCAGUGGAUCUUCAAGCUGGGGGGCUAAAGCCGCCAAAACACCACGCCCCGCAUUCCGAAUUUCUCGCAGGCGCACCCACCAGUGUUUUAAAUGCUCGACGAAUCGGCAAGGGGGAAGGUGAGUACAGUCAGAGAGCCAGACAAAUGAACUCUUUCGACUCUGUCGGAGCAACCAUGGUAUUAGUAGAUGAAAAAGGCAAACCCUUGGGCGAGCCGAUACGACGCAAAGAAACGCUCCGGCCUACAUUGUACUGAUUCUACGAAGGGACAUGAAAUGGUUCUCCGGGUCAUGUUGCUCACUGCCUUGAGUGAUACCUUCGAAGGUACAAAAGAGGUGUCCAUGGCAUGGACUGACUGAGGCUCUCACGUACAUGUUAUCACCUGCUGCCAAAAUCGACACGUCAUUCCAAUACAGAUGGAUCCGAUCACAUAUAGGGCACAGGUCCUGUCAGAUAUUUUUGAACGACCAAAAAAUUAUGCAGUAUUUGCGGUCUUCGAGAAAAUUAAUGCAUGUUUGUGUCACGUGUUUUCGUCCGAAGAGAUUAUAUUGAGGAGGCGAUGGACUCUCCUCGAGCACUCCUGCUGCUCCAGGAAACACACUGCACAUCACAUCUACCAUCUACAGUUUCACAUCGACCCAAGUGUUCCUCGGCCUCCUCGUCAUCGUCGUCGCGCGCUCACGCGGUGGCUCGUGAGAGUCCAUCACCACAGCCGCACGCAACUCAGCGCGAGAAGGCAGUUUCAGGGAGGUGUGCAUCUUCCACGCAACUCCAAGACAGCCAGUGUGGUGUGCGGCUCACUUCACCCGACUUAAUUUUCGCAGAAAUAACUUAUAUAUAUCACAAACAGCAGUACCUAGUAUUCUGGAUUUCAUCAGGCAGCUGUGGAAAAUUUUCAGAUUUCUCCGCCCGGUUGAAAAUUUUCAGAUAAACUCGUCAUUCUUGAGUUAAUCCUCCCAUACGGUAGUAGUAGUAGUAUCUCCGGGUGUCCACAGCUGCCUGAAAUCCAGAAUACCUUCGUAAUAAGCUAGGACCUGGUAUGACGAUCUUGGUUAUUUUUAGGUGUGUACCUUUUUUUUGUUGCCCCGGGCGGGGAACUGGCUGAGGGAAUGGCCGACGAGCCGCUUCGCGGCUGUUUAAACUCUAAACCCUGAAAAGCCGACCUCAACCCCCUAAAGGCACGGCGCGGACCCUAAAGAUACAGUGCACCGCUUGUUACUCGCGCGUCAGCGGCUACAUGAGAGCGCAUCUUGCUCAUGCAAACAACCGCUCUUGUCAGCGCUUGGCACGCUUCAGGAUAUGUACGGGAGGAAUCAACUCAAGGAUUACGAGUCCCGCCCCCGGGCAAAAAAAAUCGAAAUGCGGCGUAAAGAUUUUUGCGAUAUACGAAGGUAUUUAUAUGGAAACCAUUUCUCCCUAUAUCGUUGACUUUCGGUCGGCAGAUGAGUUACCAUACGAUCACCGGUCGGUUGCAAAUGUCGACACGAUCUACGCGCCAAACAUUUUGGGUCGCGCGUGUUUUUUUUCCCUAUGGCGCCUAGUCAGGCCCAGUCAGGACGGCGAGCGCGGUGAGCGGCUCACUAAUACGCUGUUCGGCGCCAAAAACCGUGCUGACUGGACCGGUACCAAUCGAGAAUGUUGGUUCGGCGCUAAGUGUUACAUAAUGUCUCAAGCACCAUCCACGCAAGAGCCGCGAAAGCUAGAUGGGAAACGCAAGGCGCUCACGCCACAAACCCAAGCUUGCACCUAAGCCCCUUCUCCGAGAUGUAAUGGUAAGUGCUUCUCAGUUGUUUACCCCCUUGUUCGAAGGGAAACGUCACUUGCAUCCCGAUUUUGUGUCGUCCCUUUGUCAAGAAAUCGUUGAAGAGGGCCAGGAAGGUCACGACCGCAUUUCACAACAUCCACCGCCAGCUGGAGAACAUAUCCGCGCAUGGGAGCAAGGUGCACAAACAUCUUAGCUUUGUCAAGCAAACCGACGGAGUUCACCUUCGCCGCGAGCUCGACGGUUUAGGUGGAAGGCAGGCCUACCAGGAGGCCUCGGUGCUGACCACCACUCGGCACCGCACGUGCAAGUGGGUUUUCGCUAUGAUCACAAGGCUCGGGCUAAGGCCGGGCAAGCAAUCCCCCCCCCUCAGGCUUCUUGAGGUCGGAGCUGUUAAUACUCAGCUCAUGUCUGUCCCUUGGCUCGCGGUCAGGGCAAUUGAUAUCCAGGAAAGUCGUCUGGGUCGAUGGUCCUUCCCGCCUUCCAAACACUGUUCACUCUUUUCGAUGUUGUAGGCUCAGCACCCAAAAAUAGAUCAGGUAGACUUCUUCGAUCUUGAACCAGCCUCGACCUACGAUGUCGUGGUCCUAUCCAUGGUACACCUGCUGAUGACCGAACGUACAUUUUCCUUCGCCAAGAAACUUGAUUUCCUACGGUCAUGCUCUCCAUAGGUCCUGAACUGCGUUCCCUCGCCGUUUAAGCGCGGACGCAUGCUUGCGCUGGCUAAGCGGCAUCUAAAACUUGGUGGUCAUUUCUUCUUGAUGGCGAGGCCGCAAGUGUUUUAAUCAUUCAUCCCAUUUGAUGUUGUCACCUUGAUUUUCAUCGUCUUUCCAGAUUCCUAGACGAUGCCUGGAGAACUCGCCGUUCUGCACAUCAAACUUCCUUGAACAACUGUUGUUUGCGUUGGGACUAAAGGUAUGGAAACUUCCAUCUCAGUGUAAAGCAACCCUCAAUUUGUUUGAGUAUCUUUCGAACGCGACUGCGUGCUGAUACUUUUAUCGAUCAGGUUUUAAAGUUAAAGCGCUCUCCAAAAGUUGUGUUUGUGUGUGCUAAGCGAGUUCUUCCAACACCUGCAACGAGACGAGAACAUUCUCAGAACGAGGGGGCAUCAUACUGCUUUACAACACCACCCCGUGCGCUCGCAGAGGUCGCAGGCCUUCACAGCUCACAGUUGUCAGACGACUUUGCUGUAUGUUGCGAAGAGGAAGACUUUGCUUAAAAUCGUAAACCGCUCAACAUGUCAUGCCCUUCCACACUCUCCAGUGUGUGAGCUUCUUGUCUACUGGUUUUGUGGAUGCAAGAGCUUGAGGUUUGUUUUCAACUCAGCUGAUGAUGUCGUUCGUGAAAGUGUAUUGUGGAUGGGCAAAUUCAUUAUUUGACGCCUUCAAGGUGUCAGGCAGGAACAUCUAAAAAACGGUGUUUGACUGGUGCCGAAAAUGACAAGAGUUCACGAAAAAUGAAGUGAUAACAAGUGGGACGAUCAAACAAGCCCUCAAAUAAAUCAAAAGUCGAGCCUACAGUGCACACAUGAAAGCUCGUUACCAGCGUGCUCUCCUGCAAUGCAUUUUUUAUUCACAGUUUAACGAUACUUUCAUCCGCGACAGCUCUCAAACAAGGGACCGAUGACUUUAUCUUUCCAGCUUUCUGAUCGAGCAUCACCUGUGUAUGACUCACCAAACACGAGCUGAUCAGCUUUGCAUCUUUGAAAGGCAGUCCGUGCAGCUAGCGCGAUAUUACCAUUCGUUCAAUAAUAUAAAAUCGGCAUCGGUGAGGUGUAGGAUUUUGUCACCGGGUGUGUGCCGAAGCCCUAUCUCUGUUAUGAUAUCAGCGCCGCGCGUACGAAGACUCGCGUCAAGUGGAACAUAUGGCAGGCGGAAAACAGGUUCAGCACAAUCGAGCAUGGCCAGCAUCGUGUUCAAUCCGAUAGGAUUUGGUUCCGCGAAAAGCCAUUUCAUUAGGGGGAGCAACUUGUCCCGUAAUUCAGGAUUUGGGCCGCUGGUGAUAAGCUCAGCCAUCAAGCCAGGGACAAUAUUACUCGUAACCGAUAUAACGCCUACAGCACCAGCCUCGUAUCGUGCGUCAUGCGCCUCGUCAUCAUUACCGGUCCAGCAAACGAUGCCUUCAUCGGAGUAACCCUUGAUUCGCUCGUUACCUUCGCACUCCUUCACGCCCGCAAAAUUUUCAUGUUCAGCUAAUUCUAGCAUGAUGUCUGGUGUGAUGUCCUGUGACGUACGAGCAGGUACGUUGUAAACAAUCGUGGGGCCAAAAUCAAAGACAGCAUUAAAGUGCGCGAGAACUCCUGUCUUUGAGGUUUUCCCAUAGUAAGGAUUGAUGUGUAGAGCCGCAUCCAUACCUGAGCCGUAAUGGUCGAAAAAAGAUGCGGAGUGAUGAGAUGAGAGGUUCAAAGGUGGGUUGGGGUUUGAGGAAGAACAACCUAAAAUUUUCCCCACCAACAGCAAAACCCUGCGAUGUUGCGUGGACGGCCUCUUUCGUCGAGUUGGACCCAGUAUUGCCGAUGACCUGGAGCUGAUCACCAUAAAGCUUUGCGGUGUGGGCGAUUAACAUGAUGUGCUCGUCCCAGGACAUUAACUGCCCUUCACCAGUAGUGCCUCCCACGAUCAAACCCCCGACUCCAGCCGAGAUCUGCUUUUCAACGAGGGAAUCGUAAGCAGAAAGGUCCACCUUCCCGUUGGCCAGGUAUGGAGUCUUAAUCGCGGUGAUGAGUCGCGUGGCUCUAAUUUCAUCGACACUUGCAGUCUUUGACUUCAUCGUGCUAUUAGUCCAUUCCUUGGUGGAUUCGCACUGCGAGAGCCAGACGAUGUAUCUUUCAGGCGGAAACACGAGGUGGUAGAAGAAACGGUGGCAAAUUUAAACAGCCGCGUACCUGUGAACGUAAUCGCUCCUCGUGUCUAGGUAUCAUCCGUCGAGGCCGACAUGUAGUGCUUAGGGCAGCGGGCUGACUGAUGAUCAUCGUCGUCGCGAAAAACCCUAUCUAGGAGGAGUGAGCGUUCUUUUGUGUGCUGAUAGGCUUCCGACACCAACUCAAACUGGACUCGAAUAAUGCACCUUUAUUUGAUAUUCUUGAUUGCGUGCGUGCUUGCUUAUUAGUUGCGCAAUAUCAUACCUUCGUAUAUACAUACAUACGAAGGUAUCUAUCUUCGUAUUCUAGAUUUCAACCAGGUUGAACACACCCUAAGCGAUACCUUAUUAUAAUAAAAGUUAUCGCUUAGCUGCUUAGGGUUAACGAUCGAUCGAAGAUAAGUCUGAGUUUAACGUUAGUUGGAACGUGAAUUUGAUGACAAUGUUACCAUACGACGAUUAAAUCAAUGGUAUCUUUAAUAAGCUCCAAAUAAAGUUAAAGGUGAUAAAACUUAUCAUUUCAUAAAAUAAAGUUAUCUUCGUUAGUUAUUAAGGGUGUUCAACCUGGUUGAAAUCCAGAAUACCUUCGUAUAUAAAUAAAUACCUUCGUAAACUAUUGUGAUAUUAUGAAUAGACUAUUAAAUACGAAUGACAGUCGAAUGACAGUCGAAUGACGGUAUGGAUAAUAAAUACGAAGGUAUCUAUACGACUCCAACUUCCAAAAUGUAACAAUCACCUGGUAUCGUUUAUCAAUGUUGAUGGUCUAUCCGUCUCAUACAUUGUCCACAUUUUUGACACCAUUAAAUCAAGAACGAUGGUCUAUCGGUCUAUGGAUUGUAAACAUUUUUGACAUCAUUAAAUAAAAAACGAUGGUCUAUCGUUCUAUGGAGUGUCCACAUUUUUGACAUCAUUAAAUCAAUAACGAUGGUCUAUCGCUACAUAGUUGAUGACAUUUUCUUAUUUUUAGCUCGAGAACCUUGAGUCAGCUGCUCUUAUAGUUGGUUCUUCCGAGGUACCUUCGUACCUUCGUACGAAGUUUAGAGGGAUAUCUAUCGAUCAUCUCGUAGACGAACUAUCAAUCUAGCUAGUCUACACACGUAUAUCAGACCUAGGGAGACGUGAUUCGACCCAGCCAUACCGGUAAUACGAACUCGACCUCAGACUCCGUGCGCGUACAACGAAAUCGCCAACUCCCGGCUAUGCCGACCACCCAGAGGACGAACGAAAUUUCCCUCUCUCUCUCCCACCUCACUCGCACUCACCAACCACUCGUCCUUUGGAGAUUUAUUAUUAAUACCUUCGUACGUGAGCACUGUAGUAGCUAUAUAUCUCGAGCUAGCUAUCUUGCUAGAGCUGGAGCCUAUCACUGAGAACGAUCCGUUUAAACGUUUUCAAGCGGAUCUCGUUUCAUCGCGGAUAAGUUGACAAAACCCUGUCCAGCCGGCUGUUGCCAGAGGGAUUUCAGGGUGAACUAAUAAUAUUCGAUGGAAGCAAGGACAGGUUGGACAUUUGAAAAAUAAGUGAAAUAAAUAUACUAGUCUAUAGUUUGUAUGGGCUUUUUGUACCGAUGGAGCAUCCGUACAAAUUCUCAACCAUGUGGUUCAGUGGAUUCCUUCGAAUUUUACGUUCCUGCGAAGGUAUCCAUAUAUACCUUCGUAAUAAAUAAGAUGGAGUUUACCAUAUAUCAUGCCUGCAGUAAAAUUCUUCUCAAAUCACUCGGGAACACUGACCUCUGGAUUUUGUCGUGGCGGAGGCCUCUCGAGGGCGAGAAUAUAUACACUGCGCAAGGAUAGCCACUCCGCGCAACCUGCAAAGAUUCGUGUUGCGGGCGAAACUUUUGCAAACGGGCCCAUUUUAAUAACUUUUGUCCCAAGUUUUGAAAACGAGUUGUUGUCGUUGCCGCCGCCGCCGCCCCCUAACCUCGACAGAACGCAAGAACUAGCUCGUUGAUUUGAACCAAGCCGGGCGGCGCGGUGCGUAUGAGUCGAUAUUCGAUGAAAUGCGAUGGUUUUGAUCAGGGGACUGGAUAUUUACCGGAAGCUCUUCGCGGCGUUGCUCGAAAUCAUCUAGCAUCUUUCGACUACUUUUUGGAUCACGGCCUUUCUGAUGUGGUUAGGUGCCUCGACAACAUUAGCAUCCAGCCUUCAGGCGCUCAGAAUACAUCGUCAUCGCCUCGCUUCAAGAUGUGGUUUGAAAACAUCAGUAUAGGGAGGCCAAUAAGGGAGGACACUACAGCGGUGCGUGCCCGUGACCCUCGCGUUUUCCCACGCGAAUGUCGUGAGUCGUCAAAUACCUACAAGGCGCCUAUGUUGGCAACAGUUGCCUGGACUUUCGGGGAUGUCGGCGCCAUCUUUCGCCGAGAAUUUCGCAUAUGCAUGUUUCCCGUCAUGGUUGCAUCGAAGGUCUGUAAUCUAUUUGGAUUCUCCCAAGAUGAACUUAUCUGUAGGGGCGAAGAGGGUCAUGAGAUGGGUGGGUACUUCAUCUUAAAUGGAAACGAGCGAAUAAUCCGGCUGCUUGUCCAGCAACGAAGGCACUACAUAAUGUGAGUCUAUUUCAAUCCCCGACAUUUUCGGAACCCUAAUGAGUCGAGCGCGAAUCCCGUUUAGACGUUUGAAAAUGAAUUCCCCAACGUUUUUGCAUUUCAUUGCACUUAUUCUGGAAUCAACGGUUUUGACCCUUUCGAAUGGGUGCGAAAACUUAUAGUAUGCGAUCGCGAUCUUGGCCCUAUCUGCACAGAAGGUCGUAAAACAUGUCUCUUUCUGUUUGACUCUUUAUGCCGGGAAUGAAGCGAAAGGCAUAUUCAUCUCGAGGGCCCAUUUACACUCACUAUGCAACUGCUAUCCGCUGUUCAGCCAACGAUGAGCAUACAAGCACAGUUCGCAUUCAUUACACAUCUGAUGGAUCUGCUAGGCUUGUCUUUGUUCAUCGUCGAAAAGAAUACUUUGUCCCCGCUGGAAUCAUACUACGCGCACUUGCAGAGUUUUCAGAUAGUGUCGUGCAGGCGAUUGUAGCCCGUGGUCUCACCGGUUUGGGAGCUCAAGUUUUCGCUAUUGAGCGCAUCAGAAUCAUUCUCGGUGAAGCUGCCACUUUUGGUAUUCACAACAAAGUUCAAGCUCUGGCUUAUCUUGGUGAACAUUUUCGCGCACAGCUUGAUGCGAACCCGUGGGAAACAAACUUUGAUGUGGGCAAACGCCUGAUUUGUGAACACAUUUUCAUACACUUGCAAAGUGAUGAGGAUAAAUUCAACCUUGUGCUACUUAUGAUGCAAAAGCUAUACGCUCUUGUUGCCGGACAAUGCUCAGCGGAUAAUCCUGAUUCACUAAUGCAUCAUGAAAUUUUGCUGCCGGGAAUUUUGAUGCAGAUUUUUGUUCGCGAGAAGCUGCAGGAUGCGCUGCACAAGGCAAAAAUUGCUUUGAAUAGAGAAUUUGAGGAGAACCCGAACCAUGCUUCAGCGGAUGAUGGAGAGUGGCUCUCGCAAGUUGCAAUUGAGGCGAUCACGAAAACAAAUAUUGGAAGACUUGCUGAGUAUUUUCUCGCAACGGGCAACCUUUCUAGUAGGACAGGACUUGGACUUACACAGACAAGUGGCUUCACAAUAGUUGCUGAUAAACUAAACUACAUGGUUGGGAAAACAUCUUCAUGUGGAAAUAAUGUAUUAUCCAUAAAUAGGUGUAAAUCUCAUUCUGCUAGCUUUUCUGCUGACCCUACUUCUUGCGUUACAUUUCACACUUUCGAUCAGUUCACCGUGGUGCUUAUUUCGCAGAGCUUCGAACAACGACUGUUCGGAAAUUACUGCCAGAGUCAUGGGGCUUUCUAUGCCCUGUGCAUACUCCUGAUGGUAGCCCAUGUGGACUAUUAAAUCACUUGGCUGCUUCAUGCUACAUACACGUUGCUUGUGAAAGUACUGGGGAGGCAAGAGACCGAGCCAGGAGCCAGGUUUUAAAAGUGUUGUCAUCAGCCGGCGCACUAAUCUUGCAUGGUAGCACAAGUCUUGGAUCUGCUCCUCCGGCACACCUUACAGUAAUGCUUGAUGGACUGAUCCUCGGCUUUGUAGCCGAUUCAGAUGCGAAAGUCGUCGUCUCAGCUCUCAGAGCUGCAAAGGUUUCUGGGUCAAAUGGGGUAUCUUCACAUCUUGAGAUUGCGCACAUACCAUUGUCUUCUUGUGGCUAUGGUGGAGCAUUUCCUGGGCUAUAUUUAUUUUCAACAUCUUCACGCAUGAUGCGUCCGGUCAUACAGCAACAAAACAGAAUCACUGAAAACAUUGGGUCAUUGGAACAGGCAUUCAUGUCAAUUAGAUGUCCAGAUGGUAGACAAAAACCAACCUGCAUUGCAGAACACGCACAUGAAGAAAAUGGACCUGGGACAAUCCUAUCCGUAGUUGCGAGUCUUACUCCAUGGUCGGAUUUCAAUCAGUCACCGCGAAACAUGUAUCAAUGUCAAAUGGCCAAACAAACUAUGGGCAUGCCACUACAUUCCUUUUGCUACAGGCCCGAUACAAAAAUAUAUCGUCUACAUACACCUCAGCGUCCAGUUGCCAUGACAGGGCAAUACGACAAAUAUCAGAUGGACAAUUAUCCUUUGGGGACAAACGCAGUCGUUGCUGUCAUUGCGCAUACCGGAUAUGACAUGGAAGACGCCAUGAUUGUGAAUAAAGGAGCCAUGGAAAGGGGCCUUGGUCAUGCAACAUUAUACAAAACGGAGACGGUGACGUUGGUUGCUGGAUCAGACGAAAAUUUUGGUCAAUGCAAUGUGAUACAGCAGAAAUUGGGAUCACCUAUUGCAUUUACGGAAAAGCAUCCAUUCGACCCUGACAUUGACACCGACGGUGCACCUCGUCCAGGAUCCAUAAAACAGGCCGGCUCGACAUUGUGCAGUGUUGUUGAUCGCAGUACAGGGCGAGUUAGACUUCACAAAAUCAAAGGCAGUGAUCAUGUGAUCAUCGACCGUGUUUCCAUUAGCAGUGGAAAAGCUAGCAAAGGGCAGACAGAAACAAAGAUGUCAGUAACCGUCCGAUGUGAUCGUAACCCAAUCAUUGGAGAUAAAUUCAGUUCGAGGCAUGGACAGAAAGGUGUUCUGUCAUUUCUUUGCCCGGAAGAAGAUCUGCCGUACAUUGAAAAGUCUGGAUCUCGUCCUGAUAUACUCAUUAACCCCCACGCAUUUCCUUCUCGCAUGACGAUUGGGAUGCUUCUGGAAAGUAUGGCAUCAAAAGCGGGGGCGCUCGAUGGUCGCUUCAUUGACGCAAGCCCAUUCCAAGCAGCCAAUGAUGAAACACAUAUCAUAUCACCCACUCGCGAAUACGGUGAAAUGCUCCGCAAACACGGGUAUAACUAUAGCGGAAGUGAAACAAUGGUCAAUGGUCUUACAGGAGAGCGAUUUGAUGUUGAUAUCUUUGUUGGUCUAGUAUAUUAUCAGAGGCUCAGGCACAUGGUGAGUGAUAAAUUUCAGGUCCGUUCUUUAGGCCCAAACAACCCCUUGACUCAACAGCCAAUUAAAGGCCGAAAAGCUGGGGGCGGCAUUCGGUUUGGAGAGAUGGAACGCGAUGCACUAAUUGCCCAUGGAUCGUCAUAUCUGAUACACGACCGAUUGCACGCCUGCUCCGACCGUCAUGUUACCUCAUUGUGCACUUACUGUGGUAGCUUACUCGCCCCGGGUGCAAACAUCCAAAUGGCCGCAACUCAUCAAGUACACGCCAGUGGCGCUGGAAAUGGGCAGGGUCGUUUACAUUCAUUCGACGAUAUAUUUCCUCGAAAGGUGUCGUGCAGAGUCUGCAACACUGGGACCGGAGUUCACAAUGUUGCUCUGCCAUUUGUUUUCAAAUAUCUUGCUGCAGAACUUGCUGCCAUGAACAUACGAAUAGGAUUGGAGGUCGGUGACGAUAGAGUUUGAGACCAUGCAAAAGUUGACGCGAUCAAUUACUUACAUUUGCGUUUGCCACCACCUACAUCUUUUCCAGACUAGAUUAGAUUCCAGGCUUUACCUGUCAAGUAUCAAUGAAUAAUGGUAGAAUGUGUUUACAGUGCUCGGAUUUUGUGUUCGUAGCAACAACAUAUGUGAAACAAACGGAUAAUGCAUGAUCACAUAAGAGAUGAUUUCAAUUUUUUUAAUCAUGCAUGCUAACUAUCCACCCUGCCACCAACUAAUCAAAUGUAAAUGCAUACAGAACGCGUGAUUAUUUUCGAUUGUCAUCGCUCCAAAAGCAUCACUGCUUCACAAUGAGUUGUGUGAGGAAAAAGAUCUACUGCAAUCGCCCUUGUGGGUUUGAAUGGCGCGCCGCCACUACUUCCAUCUGGCCCCUGAGGGGUACAUAGCUCAAUGCAGUUGGAUGCCAUCGAUACGGGAUUACAGGAGAUGUAUACAAUUCGGUGAAGACCUGCCUGUUUACGGAGUGCGAGAAGAACAGCCUUAUGCAAUCCUGCACGCGGUGGAUCUACAACGGCAACGAUGUUGUCAUACUCAUAAUCUGCAGAGCAACCAUCGCUUAACUCGACCGAAAUCCGUCCUCUCCGCCCAUCCUCGUAGAUUGACAGUUCAUCAUCACUACCACUUAUCUCCGCACUGGGAACUUGAGAUCCCAUGAUGAAUGCAUUUUCACCCCUACGGGUCAUUCUUUUUGGCACGACGAGUGGCGAGUAAUGCUUAAACAAUGAUGGAAGUGCAUCCUCUGCCCUGGCGACGAUCCAGUCACAGUUAUCGAUGCCAUUCAAAGAUGCAUUUACUUUGGCAUCCUCGAUAGCGCUCGCGACAACAUCAAUGCCCACCACCUUUUUCACUUUCCUCGCGAGGCUGAGUCCGAUUGUGCCGGUUCCGCAGCAGACAUCAAGUAGUAGCGAACGGCCAUUGGGACUAGCCCAUUCACCGACAAGCUGGUACAUUAUGUCUGCCCCACACGUGUUUACUUGGAAGAAUGCAGACGCAGAUAAUGAGAAAGUCAAUCCACACAAAUUCUCGUGAAUGACAUUUUCCUGACCGCUGACUCCUCUUCCCGUCUCCAGGUCAAGAAGAGGAGAAUCAGGAUGCGCAGCAUUUGAGACACCUUCAUGUAUUUGCAUCAACAUUUGAGUUAAAGGAAAUGGAUCUGGGGACGUUUGAUCAGCGGCUUUGCGGAGAGCAGAAGCAGCACGAACACACGCGUCUCGAACAGUCGAAGAAUCGUAUCCUGACAUGCUCACCUGCACUAUCACCAUCACCUCUGAGCCUUUUUGAACUUGAGGGUACUGUAAACUUCCAUGAUCUCUGCGAGAUGCAACUGGCAGAUCGUCCCUGCUUGACAUGUUAUCAUGUUUUGCACUCUCUUCUGCAGGUGGAAUGUGUCUUACCCACCCUGCCCAUUCACCUGAUUUUGGGGAAAACCUCCCUUCACGUACAGUCAGCAGCCUCCAAAAGCCCGCUCCUUUCCGUUUGUCCCACACAGGAAGAUAACAUGACCCUGAUGCAACGCUGUUCCGGGCUUCUGAUCGAAGAAACAGCUGAAAUGCGGUUGCAAUACAUUUUGCAAUAGGACUGAUGUGUCGGCAGUUACUAGGGGAGGAUACCGCAGUCACGCCAUCCCUAAAGAGCCCGACAUUAAAACCUACUGAAGGUUCGCCAUUGGUAUCAAGACCCACCGUGAACUCCGAUUUGUUGCGAUAUCCAUCUAUCACUGGCGAUCGAACGAUACCCAUCAGUUGCACAGGGUGCUGACUCUCCCCUUUUCGAGUCGAUGUCCAUUUAGGCAAAUCGGCACAGCCACCCUCAGCCCUUCCUCGCCUGCAGUUCUUUUUUACGCCUCGGACCAGAGUGUUCAAGGCGUCUUGGACUUUUUCAGCUUUCAUUGAUAGUUGUUCUUCGUAUGGUAACGACCACAGUGGACAAACAGCGUCACGAACAUCUCGUGGUGUGGAGUUUUCAAUACUGUUUCCUGGUGACAAAUUUGCAGUUUCACUGUGCCUUGAACAGUUCGCCAAAUGGAGUUUCACGAUGUUGUGUUUUGAUGUUUUUUCGUGUGUUCGUUUUUUAGGGUUCUUUUGAGGAAUAUUUGUUCGCCCUUCCAACUGAGAAGACAUGUUGUCACUGUCCACUUCAAACUCGAAGAAGUGGGGUUCCUUCUCCCUGCCGUGAAAGCAAAGGUGCAGCCCUUCAGUAAUGAGCGUAGCACGUAUCGCUGAAAAACAUACGUGAGGAGCACCAUCGAUAACGGUAGUGUCCGCGUUAACGACGUGUCGACGAAGGGUUGCGACGAUUAAAAUUUGGUGUUGACGUACUUGAGCGUAUCCGUGUGCACUGCAGUUCCCGCGGAUAAAUGUGGAGUACUUCGCGUGCAGCGCUUUGCGUUGUCAUCGCGGCCAUGCGCGCUUUUCCUGUUUCUUUCUAGACUACUCAUACCCUCUUCUUAUCGAGACACCUGGUGUACUUCUUGACUGUAAACGUGGGUCCAGCAGCGUCGGGGCGGUCCCAACACCUCUGCCUGCAGUUACGGGUUAACACUUACGAGUAAAUAAAAUAAGUUUUAAUAAAAGUUUUCCCGACCCGUCGAAACGACGAGGGAAAAAGAAAAAGACUGUAAUUCUAACAAGUUGGGCCGGUCCGCGCUUCGCCGCUCAGUGUGAUUUUCGAUGUUCGAUGGGAACUCUGGAAAAUUUUCCCCUCGGGGGUGUCCACAGCUGCCUGAAAUCCAGAAUACCUUCGUACAAGUACCUAGUGGUUCGUACGUAGUGCGUACGGGACUCAUAUUAUUAUUAUUUUUUAAACCAGUAGACAUAAUCUUUUCCUUCGAAGGUUCUUGCAGCAGCGGGCGCACGGCACGCGCUCUGUCCAUGCCUGACGCGCCCUCUCGAAGCCAUGACCGCCGUGCCGACUUUACCCCCCGCAGACUUCACCGCACGCGACGCCUUCAGCGGCGGCGCGGAUAUCCUUCGCGCGAGCGCCCUGAAAGGUCCUUACGUCCACUUCAGUCGCGUGGGCCCACCGGACGCCGCGCUGGACGUCGACGCGUACGCGCCGGGAACGUCCUCGUCGGGGUUCGAGCUGAGGCAGGGGCGCGUCAUGGAGCUUGCCCCACUCGUCGAGAUGCGAACGCCGGACGCUCACGUAUGCCCAGACGCCAAGGUCUGAGAGCUCUGGUUCCCAAACAGCCCCAGAUCCCAAAAAUCAAAUAAUGACCCCCGGCCCCUCCGCAAUCGAUGCGACACAACGCUCCUGUUUACACGCGCCCCAAACGCACGAUCCGACCCAUAUAAACCCCGAAACCCCCGUUCCAAUCAUAAGAACAGGUGACACUGCUGCAGCGAGCUACGGAGCUGGUGGCCACACCUCGCGAGAGGCUGAAACUGGCAUUUGGAUUCAGGCCGACGCCAUACGCUCUAACUGAUGGGGACAAGGGCGCGAUCCCCGCGGCGUUGGUGAAUCAUCGGCACUUUGAUGUGGCACGCGCGGCUGCGAACGCUGCGGCUUCGGGGGAUGACGCGGUGGUUGCAGUUGCAGUCGCGGUGAAAGCGAUGGGCAGCGUCAGCAAGGGGGAGAAACAGAGACACGAGAAGAAGGAGAAGAAGGAGAAGAAGGAGAAGAAGGAGAAGAAGGAGAAGAAGGAGAAGAAGGACAAUAAACGGCGGAGGAAGGACGUCGGACCAGACGCAUCAGGAUUAAGCGGUCCCACGGAAAUAUCUGGUGACACCAGGAUAACGUCUCAGUAGUGAUAAAACACUUUUGCGCAUAUUUCGGUCGGCUUCCCGCAUUCCUGGAGGGUUUCGUUGAACGAGCGAUGAAGAAGGUCGUGCAUGUCAUACACCAAAGUUUCGCAAGAUCUCUACGGGCUGUCGGCACCAUGCGUAAGCGUGCCUUUCUCUCCGCAGGGUUGUGCUUCGGUCGGCAAAACACGCAGGGGAAAGUACUUUCAGGUGGUGCCUGUAUCUUAACUCGUCGAAUGCAAAUUAAGAAAAACACCGACGUCAUUCCUUGAUAUAGUUACCUUCGAAGGUACGAAGGUACCUUGGCAGUCCUGACAACGACGGAAAUACCGUCGUUGGAGCUGCAAGCUUAGAGUUUGUCUAAUUUUCGUACGGCAUAACUCUUGAAUUUAUGAUGAUAUCAUAGUCCAUUAUUCCAUCUGGGUGAAUAUCUCGGCGGAAAUCUUUCCUGGUUCUGUUAGUCCCACGCGAUUGUUGACACUAUCGCACAUGGGCAGGGACCUUUCGGAUAUUAGCGUGUACCAGGACAGCCUCCGCGGGCGACUUCCGUCGCCCGCUCGGGACGUUCGGCGUUCCCUUCGCCUCCCCCACCCCGGCCUUGGUUUUUUGCGUAGUGUAACCCACGCGGUGUGUCCUGCCCUGUGGGCUAGAUCACGCCGUCCCACGGUGGGAAAACCGUGCCGGCCUGCACCUCCGGUGCCAUCCUGCACCUCCGGCGUCCUACCCCCUCCCUACCUCCUCCAUGAGGAGGGUGAAGGGGGGGACGCCUGUAGCGUGUUUGAUAAGAGAAGAGAGGAGAAACCCGCAGUCGCGUCCACCGCCCCGACCUGCGGGGAAAACCCGUACUACUAUAGUAAUCCACCGCCACUUCUGGCCUUCCUCCAAAUAAUUUGCUCAGCAUUUUUGCCGCCAGCCGGUGUGCUGGCGGCGCGUGUCCCGCUCCUUCUAUCGCGUCGCCCCAGAAUCCGCCAGAGCCAAAUCUUGCCGAAGGAUCCCCUCAAGGGGAUGCGCGCCUUGGCGCGCUCCUCCGCGCCAUCGCGCAAAGUGGAUUUGAGCCUCCCCCGGCGAGGGGCGCGUCCUGAGAAUGAUCAGCACGUGAUUCGUCGCCUGUGCCGCGGCUCGCGCGGGGCACGGUUCCACCGACACCGUCUCGACCGUUGAGAUCGACCGUCAGAAUCGUGGGACGGCCGUCGGGACGCGGACGCGCAUGUCGCCGCGCCCUCUCGCGCCGCCGGCCUCCUCGGCUAUAGGCCUCAGCGGGAGAGGCGGCUCCAAAACUUCAGCCCCAACCCCGUCUCACGCGGCUUCGCAUGUUUCGCACGUCCAUCCGCCCUCCGGGGCGCCCUCUGGCAUGCACUGCCUGCACGCGCCCGAGCCACAUGUCGCGAAGUUCUCGCACGUCGCAUCGUCACGUUCGCACUCGUCUCCGCACACGUGGCAUUGCGCCGCGUGCCCGCCGCGCGGCGUCAGUGACCACCUGUGGUGGCGCUGCGCCCACGCGUCGCCGCCUGUCGGGGUUCUCCUCCAUCCCGCCCCCCUCCCCGCGAUGUCCGCGCGCGCACGUCCGUGCACCCCUCCGCUCCCUCUGUCGGCGACCGCCAUCCAGUAACGAUCCACCUUGAGUAUAUUAAGUGUUAUUAUCAUAUCACAAGAAAUCGAAUUUCGACCGUCGACUUUCGGAAAGGAUCGGAAGUGCCGAUUUCCGAAAUUCGACGGCCUGAUCGGAAAAUCGUUACCGAAAGUUGUAUGGGCAUUUCGACCUUCAGGAAAGCAGACCGGCAUUCUUGAUUAAUUAGACAAACUCUAAGCUUGCAGCUCCAACGACGGUAUUUCCGUCGUGGUCAGGACUGCUUGGUACGUCGCACGAGUACUCGCGUAGUAGCACAGCGCAACGAACAGGCUUUGUGAUUGACACUCCAGAGCAUCCGACCGAUGACAACGCGGAGACGUGACGGCGGAACCACACAAGUAGACGACCCCAACAGAACGGACGAGGAAGAGCCGAGGACUAUGACGGUCUCAGGUGUGGGGAUAAAAGCGAGACGGGCAGUGCCCGAGGCCGAGGUUCCGGCCCACUUGCUGAGGAGAGCGGCGUGUAUAUUUCUUGUGGGAAUGGCGGCAACGUUCGUAAUCCUUCUGUACUGAACGCCGCCCAAAUUAAUGGUGCACGGUCCGUAGCCACACGAAUCGUACGGUUCGUAGCUACGCCAAAGAACUGUCCAUCGAAACGCCUUCAAGUAAGAGUGCUCUUGCCCAAGACUUUAGCCAAUUAUCUGCCGAUCCGAUCGUCGAGUCUAAGGGAUGCGAAUACAGACCAGGAUCCGCUUAUUAGCGCCGAGAAGUCGUCCCUCACAACUUGGGGCAAGAUGUCCGAGAAACAUGACGUUUUGUUCCACAACGUGAACUUCGCUCACUAUCAGAGGACAACCUUCUCUCACACAAGAGGACGGGUGUCUUUCAAGAUCCGCUUUCAACACGUGGAGGGCAGAGUUGUACAUUAGGAUCAUGCUCGAAACCUGCGGUGUUUGAUACAAGCACUUUGUAAGGCAUUUAGAAUGUCAUUAGAAACCAUUCAGGUGUAAUCAAUCAAUUGCGUGGUAUCACCAGAUCAGUGGUAUCACGGGACACUUAAAUUUCCAUCCGCUUCUCGGGGCUUGCCGACGAAGAUGAUGUCCAAAUCAGGUGAGGCCCAUGUCCCGCUUCAACUGCUCGAGCAUCUCGUCCACUGUUUCUCCUUGUUGACUUGGUUCCAUCUUGCCGCACGUGGAACUUUCAACAUUAUGGUUUUCAUGGGGACGCUUAUUUGCACUGGUGUUCGCUGAGUACUUAGGCUCGCGCUUGACGUCUUCCCAGAAACGGUCAAAGUGCCCUGCUUUUUUGCCUGGAACUGUGUCUUGUACUGCGUCCUCAAGAAACUCCACGAAUUCUUCCCCAAUACCGCUGAGCUCUUCCCAAAGGGUCCUGUGUUUCACCCGGGACCGCGUUCGCUCGAACGCGUCGAUUUCUUCUUGCACAUCAUACAAGAACUCGUCAAAGCCAUGAAGCCUCUCCUUUCCACCCUCCAAGGUACCUUCGAAGGUACUUUUUGGUGGUGAACCUGAAGGUGACGAGGACGAUGCUCCAGAGUCAUUUGAUACUGCGACUCUUUUCGACCGUGACGAAUCAAGCUUACUCCUUCGAUCUGGGUCUGAUAAGAUCUGAUAUGCCAUCUUAAUCUCGUUGAAGCGCUCCGCCGCGUCCACGGCCUGGUUUACAUCCGGGUGGUACCUAAGCGCUGCUCUGCGGAACGCUGACUUGAUCUCGCGCGUGUCCGCCGAAGGGCUCACGCCGAGAAUCCCAUAGUAGUCCGUGUACCCGUCAGAAGAAGGAUGCACUACACGCAUCAAGGUAGCUUGCCCGAAGCGUGGCAUUGGGAGCGCAAAACCGAAGCACCCUUCGAAAGUUCGUCCCUGACGACCAUAGCCCUCGUGGCCGUUCGUGGACUUGCUCUCUCUCGCAAGUUUCCAGCUGCGCCUGAUUGGCGAGCUUGCGGCGGAAACUGCCGAUAGCGGGGCAAUCGAGCGCAUUUCAAGGCACGCGAUAAGUCGGGAUCAUUGUUGGGCGUACAUGCUUUGUAGUAGUGCCGUCGGUGCAGUUGUUUAUUUGCAGCUGAAACAUACGAGGCACGUACUGUGUUACCCGCUGCUUGAUGAUCCGUGAUAAGGAUUGGUGGAAAUUUUGCAAGGGGUUCGCGGGAGGCUGGUCAGUGCUUCGGUGAAAGAAGGACUAAUAAUAAGAAGGGCUUCUUAUUUAGCCAUGGUUUGAAGCUGAAUUUCAUCGAUUCAUCUGCCUAAAUUUACAUACCUUCGAAGGUACCUUGAUUGGUAUUCUGGAUUGCAGGCAGCUGUGGACACCCCGGAGAUAAUAAUAAUAAUAGUCUAAUAAUUCUCCAAAGGCCGAACCGUUCGUGAGUGCGAGUGACGUGAGGUGAGAAUCGUUCGUCCUGUGGGUGGUCGGCUAGCCGAUGAGGCAUGCGCGUAUACGUAUAUUUAUAAAUAUAUAUACACACAUGAUAUUACUGUCGUAUACGUAGAUAGUUUAACAUCGUUCGUAUUAAUAAUAUUUAGUGGUUCGGCAUGUAUAUAAAUAGUAGUCUAUGUAGUAUCGGCUAUACGCCGAACUACUCAGCCCUCGGACCAGCUGAUGAACAAAACGUAAUGUAACAUAGCGCAACGUCGGAUCUGACGACGCAAACUCGUCAACGCCAAUGCGCGCUCCUGAUGAUGGCAUCCUCCAUCUUUGGCGCCGAACAGUGUAUUUGCCAGUUGUCAAGCGCGCUUGCCGUCCUGACUAGCCGGCCAUAGGGGGAAAAACACGCGCGACCCAAAAUGUUUGGCGCGAAGCGCGUGUCGUUAUUUGCAACCGACCGCUGAUCGUAUGGUAACCUCAAUGCCGACCGAAAGUCAACGAUAGGGAGUUAGGUCUAUUAUUAUCAUUCCUGUCAGAUAAUUGUGACUAGCUAGGUCACUGUACCAUCUCGUCAGGUUCAUAUUCUUACGCCCUUUAUAGCUAUCUAUGAUAGAUCGAUGAUAUAUGUAGUCUACAUAAAACCCUCGAAGGUACGAAUGAGGUACUUUAUUUAUUUCGCGUGCUAAUAAAUACCAAGGUAUCCAUACGAAGGAUGCGAAGGUAAUGAGAUACGAAUGUACCUUCAGCGAGGGUAAUACGAAGGUAUUAAUACGUACGAAUGAAGCUAUUUAUUACCUUCGUACGAAGGUACCUUCGUAUAGAAUACCUUCGAAGGUACGUACGAAGGUAACCCUUAAUAACAUUGCAAUAACAGUUACCAGUCCCGUGUGAAAUUUGUUUUUUUUUGUCGAAAAGCGAUGCCCAACGCGCCCAUCGGCGACCGCGCGAUGCUCCGUCGCGUAACUAUUUCGAGAUCGCACAUAGCCAAAAAUCAGUAGGCCGUUGUUUACUGUCGAAAUACCCGUACGGCGCGCGCGAUUACUGGCCCGAUCCACGCGGAAGCCUGUCACAACCGGCGCGUCGUCGUGGGAUUGGAUUUCACGAGCAACGCUGCGUGGGAGUGUGCCUGUAAACUCUUCACACUCUGAAAGAAGUGCCAAACUUCCUGCGGCGUUGUGCUGGCAGAUUCUCGAUGGGCCUGCUUUCGGUUAUUAAAAAGGUCAAGGCCAAUGAAAAAGAGUUACGCAUCCUUAUGGUUGGACUCGAUAACGCAGGUAAAACGACGAUAGUAAAGCGAGUCAACGGCGAGGAUAUCGGCUCCGUCUCUCCAACUCUAGGUUUCAAUAUAAAAACAAUGAGGUAUAAAGGCUACGCUUUGAACAUAUGGGAUGUUGGCGGGCAAAAGACGUUGCGCAGCUACUGGCGCAACUACUAUGAGACCACAGACGGACUGGUGUGGGUGAUCGACAGCGCAGACCAUCGACGGUUGGAGGACUGCAAAGAAGAGCUCCACGCGCUGUUGUCCGAAGAAAAACUUGUUGGUGCGACACUGCUGAUCUUAGCUAAUAAGCAAGAUAUUCCCGGUGCAUUGACAAAAGAGAUGCUCACGCGGGUUUUGGAUCUUCGGAAAAUGACGAGUAGGCGCUGGCAUAUCGAGGGCUGCAGCGCAUUAACAGGAGAGGGACUGCUUCAAGGCCUAGACUGGUGUGCCGAAGAUAUCGGAUCACGGAUAUACUUGUGUGAGUAAAAUCUCACAUCGUUGAACAACAAGGGAAACUGGUUUGUGCUUAGCAAAGUUGUUCAUGAUACUUCUCAAACUAACCGCAUUCGCCGUCAUUAGUCUGUCGAUUCUUCUUAAACUCAGGCUUCCACUUCCAAAGUUGGUGUAAUUCGCAGGUCCCUUCUGGCGCACAAGGGCUGACUGUUUCGGAUGAACCAGAAAAUACGAAAACAUAAACUUUUUUUCCGCUCCCUGAACUUAUUUCAUUGACUUCGCCCUCGCCAUUGAGAAUGCAGAGUUGCUGUGGUGCCGCGUUACUGUUACCUAUGUCUUUUCGCGCGGUUAUUUACGCAUCUUUGUGAUCUUAGUAUUUCUGAUGGAAGGUAUUUUAUUGUUAUCCACCUCAUCAUACAGAAGUUGAUGAGGCGUGUGGGCACUAGCUCGUCGAUCGGAGGAACUAGAGCCGCGAAGACCCCAACGUAUGGAUGUGAUGAGAGUUGGCGCAGCAGGAACUGCUCGAAACUUUUCUGGGAGCGAUUCAUAUUGUAGCAAGCAUAAUUGUCUUGCUUCCGCGUGUAGCGCGUUGUUUCCACCUUCAGACCGCUUAUUUGCACAAUGCAGCAAUGGACCGUUUACAAAAUAUUCCGUUUGGCUGGUUUGUGCCGAUAUCCGCGCAGUUCAGCAUGCAAGGGUCUUAUGUUUGUUUCUCAAGGCUCGUCCAUAUCGUUGACACAAUCCAUUUUCGCGCUUGCAGGACAGCAGCACCAAAUGCACUGCAGGGCACAACAGCAGGAGAGCCAACUUUCUCUGCUGGUGCAAAUCCCAAGUCUCGGUAGCCCAUGUCCAUCGUGUAAUGGUUCCCAACCGGCACGGACUAAAUCUAGUUCAAGGUCGCGCGUCAGAAGGCAAAGAUGUAUUGCCGAUACAAUCAUAAUACUGAAGGCGAUAGCCAAGCAAGCCAUGUAGAAAAAGAUCGAAUGAGUUGUAAAAGCUAGGGCCGGAGCCGCCAUGAUGACGAAGUCGAACGUCCCGUGAUAAAACCAAGAAAAUCCAAGGCACUGAAGGACAUCAACACGAUGUUGCCCACUUCUUGCUGCGGCCAAAGACUGAGCAUCGAGCCACAAACUCCUCACAUACCGUGUUGCUGUCAUCCCCGCCCACACUGAAUGUAAGGGGAAAGCUCCACGGCCAAAUGUGACCGCGGCCGCACUUUGUAAUUUCUGUGCCUCGGUGUAUGGCUUUUUAAAAAGGGUGAAGUUCAGAGAAAUCGGAGCAGAGGCUUCCGUUCCCAUAUCUUUGUGUGGACUUAAAUCUGCUGUUGAAUUUGUUCUUCGGUUUUCUGCAAACGAUCUAGCACUUAGAGUGUGUUUGAGGACAUCUAUUGUUGUUCUAAAUCUGGCCAGUGUUUGAUACGGAUACGACAUAAGGCAUAUUUGUGAUGAAUCAUCUUCAUCUCCCUCGCGCGUGUCUUGGUCUAGAAGCUCGCAAUGAGUUCUAAGGCUCAGAUUGCAGAGCCCUUCGAACGCACAUUUAAACAUUUCGUCCCUCUUUGAUGAAAUCUGUCGGUCUUCAAUCCUCGAUGAAACGUCCAACUCGGACACCACAAUUCCUUCGUGACUAAAUUUCCGGUCAACUGUGAAGUUUCCCGCAGUUGGAUCCAUUCUUAUACUCACGUGCACACUUGAGUUGUAUUUGCUCCACUCCGUCGCGGCAGAAUAAAUGUUAAUUCCGUAUUGAACGUUUUCAGUGAACGCGAACCCAAUUCCAACAACAAACCCGAGAUACACUACGAUCCUUGGAUUACUCACAGGCGAGAACCAACCGACACUUGGUCCUCCGCAUCGUGUCGACCAGUAGUCAUCAUCUUGUAAACGUGUUUUCAAAGUGUAUACAUUACCGUAUCCAUGGUCAAGUGGUUGUGCCUUCUCAUUAGGGGGAUUCGAUCGAGACGGGUAAUACCUUGCCAGUCCGAAGUACAGUUUUGAGGGUCACGUAAAUAGAUACGGCCUUAGGGUAAAACAGUGCCAAUUUUGUUGAACACGAGCAUAAACGAGUAGCGGCGAACCCUACCUUUGCAAGCUCCUCUGCCAGGCCAGCGGAAAAAAAUGCGACAACGACGGCUGCAGCCAACGUCAUCCUCUCGAGCUCAUCUCCUCGCUCCUGGGCACGAUAACCCUCUGUGUUUGGAAAUGAUUCUGCGGUGUCUGAAACUUCGUUAAACAUCAGUCUCCGUGGCCUUGCUAAAGUUGCUAAACCAGGCACGAAAGCAAUCAUGGACCCUACCGCCGCCCUGACUAUAUAGACCCCGACGGGGCACACAACUGCGCCCACCCAGAACGUUUGUAGCACCUUGGUGAAAGGCAGUUCUUGUUGCAGAGCUUUGCGACAUUUACUCCCAAGCAGCACGAACACGAAAUACCAGCCUAGUUGCGUAGCAAGGGACGCAAGAAGGACGUAAGUUGCAACCGUGAAGGUGGUGGUAUAAGCAACAGUUAUCCACUUCAGAAUAAGAAAAAUCACGGUGAGCCAUCCCCACAUAGCUUCCCUGUCAUCUCUGCAGAGCCAACCGACUGGCCAGGCAUACCACGGUGGUGGUCGAGUUGGUCGCGGGGACUCGUAGUCGUCCAGCCCGUGGCCCGGUUCAACCAUUCUGGCUUAUUCUGGAGGACGGAUGCGUCCUCGGUAAGGUGAUGCCAUGCCGUCUACGAAAACAAGAAAGCAAGGUAUGGGGUAGAAUAUAUAUGUGCCUCGUAUCUGUAUGCUCCCUAAAAUACAAAUAUGAAGGUAUUUAAGGACAGGGGUGUAGUAAUUAUUUAAUAAACCAGCCUUUUGAAAAUCAGAGAAUUUGCUCAUAGGACAACGAACACGCACACGUGCCCACUCUCGUAACCUUAAUACUUGGUGUUGGUCGUCUGGCUCUUGCUUGGCUAUACAUAGACUAGUUAUCUCGUACGAAGGUACUUGGCAAGAAAGCAGAUUUUAUUUCGAGAAACUAGUCUAGGUGUUUACCGUAGUUGAUCUUUUAUUGAGAAACUAGGUAUUUACCACGAAUCCCGACCACUAAACCCCUGAGAUAGAAAUUAGUGACCGGGUACGGCUGCACGUAGUGUUCGUGUGCUCCGUACAUUCCGCCACGAGCGCCGUGCUGGCGGUCGUUGGUGACGGUCGAUCCGGCGACCCUUUGCAUGAGCGAGAUGAUAAGCGCGACGUGUACGAGGGCGAGGUUUCGGAGGUGGAUACGGUUUCGGAGCUCGUUCGGCGGGUCGAUGGAGUCGUAGAUGGCUUGCGUCCGCUCGUUGACGUUGCCCGAGGCUCGGCGGGCGGUGAGUGCGGCGACGUCUUAGGUGUUUACCACGAAUCCCGACCACUAACCUGAAUUAGAAGUUAGUGACCGGAUACGGCUGCACGUAGUGUUCGUGUGCUCCGUACAUUCCGCCACGAGCGCCGUGCUGGCGGUCGUUGGUGACGGUCGAUCCGGCGACCCUUUGCAUGAGCGAGAUGAUAAGCGCGACGUGUACGAGGGCGAGGUUUCGGAGGUGGAUUCGGUUUCGGAGCUUGUUCGGCGGGUCGAUGGAGUCGUAGAUGGCUUGCGUCCGCUCGUUGACGUUGCCCGAGGCUCGGCGGGCGGUGUGUGCGGCGACGUCUUUGAGGAAGUUGAGGAACGGUUUGCCCAUCCUUCCGUACGUGUCCAUCACGAGCGGGAUGAAUUCCUUGUGCACCGCCGUGGCCGCCGCCUUGUACUUGUUGUUCUUGUCAGUCUCGCGUUUCAUGAUGGGGUCGCUGUUGGGGGCCGAGUUGCCUUGGCGGGGUCGUGGUUGGCUCGCGUGGUUGGCUGCCGAGUCCAUGAUGUGGGUGAUGGAGACGUCUGCGAGGAUUGUGAUGCCGGUGUCUCGCAGGCCGUCGACUCGGAUGUCUGGUCGCAGGCUGUUGGUGUUGCCGUCCCGGUUCGUGGUGCCUGGUAUCUCGCCGAUGGGCUCGGUGAACGUAGUCAGGCCGCCCAGCUUGCAGACCGCCUGAACGGCGAAUUUUACCUUGUCGUGCGUCCUGGUCUGGUUGCCUCCUGCGUUGCUGGUGUGGACGCAGAUUAGGUACUUGGCAAGAAAUUUUGCAAGAGUAAUCAUCAAGGCAUACUUGAAAUGUCUUGAAAUGUAUAUACAUGAACGAGUCAAGAACGUGUUCGUUUUUGCAAUAAUUUAGCAAAACGUGUUCGUGUACGUACAUACCUUCGUACAAUAUAUGUACGUCAAAUUUAUUUAGAAGUCACAUAUAUAUGUCGAACUCACAUUUAUUUAUUUAGUACGUACACAUGUACCUCAUAAAACACUUAAAACCCUUACCACAUUCCAACCCGCCCAUUCGCCGAAGUUGACCGACGUAUGGAUGAAAAUUCAGCUUCAAACUACGGGGGAGUCGCCCUUCUUAGUCCGUCUUUCACCGAAGCUUCAUCGAUCAAUACUCUUCAAAAUAUACGUCUGGGCGCGCAACUCGAGGGAAGCCAAAAACCAGAAAGUCCCCCCUUUCUUUCACCGAUGAAUCGAUGAAAUUCAGCUUCAAACCAUAGCUAAGAAGCCUCUUAGUCCUUCUUUCACCGAAGCUCCAUCGAUCAAAACUCGAGACCGUCUCGGACUCGUCCCAAACCAGCCUCCCGCGAACCCCCUGUCAAAGUUCCUCAGUCGCAAGGAAGGCACCUUUCACGGAUUAUUAAGUGUUAGCGCUAAUAAGGUUUUAAUAAUCAAACGGUUUCACCAGCCAGAAUAAGUGACAUCGAGAUAGAGAACUAAAUGUCACGCUGCCGCCGACACUUCAUGUAUGAGAUGAGUCAUCAAAUACCUUCAGUUUAGUAGUAUCAUCGGUCAAGGAUUUGGCUGCUCUGGCCGCGGCAUGUGCCCUCACACAGUUUCCUUCGGCAAGAGCUGCAUUUGAAUGCAAAUAUGCCGCAGCGUCCCGCGAUAGUCUAACUUUUUCCUUACUCCUUGUGCACAUUGUUUUCUCAAAGUCGGAGAGUGCCGUCGCAACGUCGCCAUCAAAAAGUCCAGCGCUGCACGACUCGGACUGCCAUACCAAUCCUUGCCUAUGCUUCGAUCUCGAUGGACUGAAUGUUGGAGUUCGGAAAAGUGCACGGGCCAGCUGCACAGCAUCCAGAAGUGCCUGGUUGGCGCCCUGACCUUUAAAUGGAGACAUGGGGUGUGCUGCAUCACCAAUAAGGGUUACGCGUGAUGCUGCGCUGUGUUCGUCUGACAUAUUCCGUAGGUCGCCUGCGUUCAGACAUGCGCGGUCAUAUGCAGGAUAUCCCGAAAGAUUUUGGAUACUGGUCGAUGAUAUUAGUUCAGGAACAGGAUCUACCCAAGAACCGCAACGCUCGACCGCCUCGGAAAGAAGUUUUGCCGGGUCAGCCUUUGCCAGCUCAAUUGCCUUUUCUUCUGAAAUCGGGAAAGAGAGCUGCCACAUCAAAAGAGGAACAGUUGCCUUGUUGUUUUGUGUAGAUACUUCGUCUCCCUGUCGAAGCGCCAGGCAUCCGUCCCCAUCGCAUGAUCGAGAAAAUGGCAUAACGUAUAUCCUUGUCGUCCCGUCAACUACCUGAAACACUUUGUGAUCGCAAAGAGGGUGGCUGACUCCAUGACAUAUUCCAAGCAUCACGAACACUCCGAGGUAGUGGAGUGGGUAUGCUUCCCCGACAGCUGCAUCGCGUGAAUUUUUUGCGAGUUUCACUGGUCUGACUGCGGAGAAGAUUCCGUCUGCGCCAACGAGAAGAUCAAAGCUCAAACGGUCACCAUCCUCGAAUUGGAGCUCUACACCUGACGAGGUUGAACAAGUUGUCUCUUUGUAAUUUUUAAACUUCUUUCCCCAGUGAACAGUUCCUGGAGAUAACUUUUCAAGCAGCACACGACGUAGUGCUUGUCGCGGUAAGUGAACAUUCUUUCGGCCGGCGUCUGAAGCUGAGUUGACGGCCACUUUCUGGUCAUUAUAAAGUCGCGUGCCGUGUCCAUAUCUACCCAAUUCUCUGCCGGCUGCGGUGAGAGAGAUGUUUGCGUUUGAACCAACCCCAUCGAGCAACACUCCGAGUUGCUUGAGAGCAGCCGCUCCUGAAUAUUUCUGCAGAGUGAGACCAUAACCUUGCUUUCGCAUUGAAAAUGAAGUGUCUCGCUCGAAUAGAGAUACAUGAACGCCGCGCUGUUGUAAUGCCAGAGCCAGAGCCGCACCCCCGAUACCUGCACCAACAAUUGCAACUCGAGGGGACUCGAGAUGUGGCUUCUGUGGUUUUCCGCAGGGCGUGGGGACGAGGCCAGUGCCCAUACAUGGUUUGCAGGGUGCUACUUUUGCUGGUGGCGCCCUGGCUAGCAUCUCGAAACUGGAAAGAUCCCGUGGACAUUCAACUGACGCCCCUGCCGCCGCCUCGCGCUCCAAUCGACGCUCACGUUUUUGCUUUUUCGAAAGAGAGUAAACAACACCUUCCCCGCCGCAACUUGAGCACCACAUCAUGUUGAUAUUCUUGCCUUCAGCAUCGCCGAUGCUAUCUGACCCUGAAGAGAUUUUCGCUUCAAUGACCAUGUCAACGUCGGCAUGCAAGAUAGGUCGGCCAGAGACGUGUACUCGCGGAACGCACGAGCGUACUACGCUGACUUGCGUUCGAGGCGAGGGACGCUUAAGACGGUGCGAAAAAUGCUGGAAGCGUACGUAUUCGGUGCAGAUUUUUGAAAAUCUGACGGCAACCAGCGGCAUGAGCACAGCCCGCGUUGUUCCGUUGUCUUUCGCACCUCCAGCGGCGCAAAAUUUUAUCUUCGUGCGAAAGUACCAACGAGAAGGACGUUCCGCUGAACAGUCGUCGUCCAAAGAACGGGAAGGCGUCGCGCAGCGUUGUUAAGUGUUAGUCAGAAAUAAAUAAAGUAUAGAAUACCUUCGUAUGUACCUUCGUAGUUUAUACGAAGGUAACAAAUAUUUAAAGAUGGUCUGGUCUUUAUUAACUGUGGCUGGUACGAACGAAGUAAACAGGGUCGCGCGUGUUUUUUUUUCCGUAUGGCGCCCUGUGAGGACGGCGAGCGCGCUAGACAACUGGCAAAUACGCUACUCGGCGCCAAAGAUGGAGGGCAUUAUCAUCGGAAGCGCACAUCGGAGUUGACGAGCUUGCGUCGCACGAUGCGAUGUUGCGCCUUAGCUACUGUUUCAGCGGCGAGUUGACGGUCUAUUAACUCGUAAAACCACGAUAUUGUCGUAGCUAAGGCGCAACAUCAUAUCUGACGACGCAGCAUCGUCAACGCCGAUGCGCGCUCCUGAUGAUGGCGUCCUCCAUCUUUGGUGCCGAGUAGCGUAUUUGCCAGUUGUCUAGCGCGCUCGCCGUCCACACUGGGCGCCAUACGAAAAAAAAACACGCGCGACCCAAAAUAUUUGGCGCGAAGCACGUGUCGGUAUGUGCAACCGACCGGUAAUCCUAUGGUAACUCCACUGUAACUCCUCUGCCGACCGAAAGUCAACGAUAUAGCUAGGGAAAGUGGUCUAUUGGAUACAUAAAUGCCUUCGAAGGUUACUAAAGCCCCCGCCCGAAGGUACGAAGGCAAUAAUUAUGUACCUUCCAAGCUAUGCAACAUGUAUGAUAUACAAGUGUUACGAAGGCAAUAUAUACAUGCGGUUGCAGAUGAUCAUCAUUAAUUAACCAAGACUCGAUUGACUGUCGAUCGAGGACCAUUUUAGAUAGAGGAAACAGUGAGGAAACUAUAUCAUAUACCUUCGUAAUAAAUACGAAGGUAAUAAAUAGACUAAAUAAUAAAUAUGAUAUGAUGAUAUGAAGGUAUGAAUAAAAAAGAGCGGGACGCCUGAAGCACCCGCCGAACUUACCGGAGACAGAUCGAGAAUAACCGACUGUCAGCCAUGGUAGAUUCCCCUGACGAUAAGUCUGGAAUUCGCGUCAAGAAGGACACUUCGACCGCCAUCCUCGAGCGCAAGAAGUCCCCAAAUCGCCUUGUUGUCGGUGGGAAAACUUUCUCCCUGUCGUGCGAUAAUCUACGCGUUCUUACCACUUCGCUCUCGACUAUACCUCGCCCCGAGCUAUGCUACCCAGCACCAGUGCGGCAAUUUACUUGACAUCGAUCCCAUGAUUUUUCGUCCCAGACGAAGCUGUGAACGAUGACAACAGCGUCGUGGCGCUCAACCUCCAGAAGAUGGAUGAACUGCAGCUCUUUCGCGGGGAUACGGUGCUGAUCAAGGGCAAAAAGCGCAAAGACACCGUUUGCAUAGUACUCGCAGAUGAAUUUUGCGAGGAGGGCAAAAUUCGUAUGAAUAAAGUUGUUCGCAAAAAUCUACGUGUUCGUCUGGGAGAUGUCGUGUCUAUCCACCAGGUGGGUUUCCAGAUCUGUCAAAUUUGGGAAACUGCCCUCACUCAACAUUCUUCUUCAGUGCACCGACGUGAAAUACGGACAACGGAUUCACGUUUUGCCUUUCAGUGAUACAAUCGAAGGAGUCAGUGGGAAUUUAUUUGACGUGUACUUAAAGCCCUAUUUUCUUGAGGCCUACCGCCCGGUUCGAAAAGGGGAUACGUUUCUUGCUAGAGGAGGCAUGCGGGGCGUAGAGUUCAAGGUUGUCGAAACAGACCCGGCUGAGUAUUGCAUCGUUGCCCCGGAUACUGAAAUAUUCUGUGAAGGUGAGCCAAUCAACAGAGAAGAUGAGGAGCGACUCGACGAAGUUGGUUAUGAUGAUGUCGGCGGUGUGCGAAAGCAGAUGGCACAGAUUCGAGAGCUCGUGGAGUUACCUUUACGCCACCCUACUCUCUUUAAAACAAUUGGUGUCAAACCGCCAAAAGGCAUCCUUCUUUACGGACCUCCUGGAUCAGGAAAAACUCUCAUCGCGCGAGCGGUCGCAAAUGAAACUGGUGCAUUCUUCUUUCUCAUCAACGGGCCAGAGAUCAUGUCUAAACUUGCUGGUGAAUCCGAGUCAAACCUUCGCAAAGCUUUUGAGGAAGCUGAGAAGAACGCGCCGGCGAUCAUUUUCAUAGACGAGAUCGAUUCCAUUGCACCGAAGCGUGAGAAAACACAGGGGGAAGUUGAACGAAGAAUCGUUUCGCAACUGCUUACUUUGAUGGAUGGCAUGAAGUCACGAGCCCAUAUCAUCGUCAUGGGCGCAACUAACCGGCCCAAUUCUGUUGAUCCAGCACUGAGGCGUUUCGGUCGCUUCGACCGGGAAAUUGAUAUUGGCGUUCCUGAUGAAACAGGCCGUCUCGAAGUGCUGCGCAUCCACACGAAAAACAUGAAGCUCGAUGAAGAAGUUGACCUUGAGAAAGUUUCGAAAGAGACGCAUGGUUAUGUUGGCGCUGACCUCGCUGCACUUUGUACAGAAGCUGCGCUUCAGUGUAUUCGAGAAAAGAUGGAUGUCAUUGAUCUUGAGGAUGAAACGAUUGAUGCCGAGGUAUUAGACACAAUGGCAGUGACAAACGAUCACUUCGUGACUGCUCUCGGAACUUCGAAUCCAUCCGCGUUGCGAGAGACCGUUGUCGAAGUCCCGAAUGUUUCCUGGGAAGACAUCGGUGGACUUGAAACCGUCAAGCAAGAACUUCAAGAAACCGUGCAGUACCCUGUUGAGCAUCCUGAAAAGUUUGAAAAGUUCGGCAUGGCGCCAUCUAAGGGCGUGUUGUUCUAUGGACCGCCAGGAUGCGGCAAAACAUUGCUUGCAAAAGCGAUUGCAAAUGAGUGUCAGGCAAACUUCAUAUCUGUCAAAGGCCCUGAGCUCCUUACCAUGUGGUUCGGUGAAUCAGAAGCAAAUGUGAGGGAGAUUUUCGACAAAGCUCGUCAGUCCGCUCCAUGCGUGCUUUUUUUCGAUGAAUUGGAUUCGAUUGCCAAUCAGAGAGGAUCCAGUUCUGGCGACGCUGGAGGCGCAGCUGAUCGCGUCUUGAAUCAACUUCUCACCGAGAUGGAUGGUAUGGGUUCAAAGAAAACGGUGUUUAUCAUCGGAGCCACCAAUCGUCCAGACAUUAUUGACUCUGCUUUGAUGCGUCCUGGCCGCCUUGAUCAACUUAUAUACAUCCCCCUACCCGACGAAAAGUCUCGACUUUCUAUAUUCAGGGCAAACUUGCGCAAGUCGCCUCUCGCACCUGACGUUGACGUGACCACCCUCGCGCGUUUUACGAAUGGUUUUUCAGGAGCAGACAUCACAGAAAUAUGUCAACGUGCGUGCAAAUUCGCCAUUCGCGAGAGCAUUCAGCGUGACAUAGAGCGAGAACAGGCUUCGUCGAUCGAUCCUGACGCGAUGGACAAUGAUUCCACUUAUAUCGACCCUGUGCCCGAGAUAACCAAGGCCCACUUCGAGGAGGCAAUGAAAUUUGCGCGGCGCUCUGUCAGUGAUGCUGACAUCAGGAAGUAUCAGGCAUUCUCACAAACCCUGCAGCAGUCCCGUGGCUUUGGCAAUGACUUCCGCUUUCCAGAUGGAAACAACAGAAGCAACGGUGGCGGAGGAGGAGAUGGUACUGCUGAUCACUUCGGCGCAGGCGACUCUCAACUCUUUACUUCAGGAGAAGCACAAGACGAUGAUGACCUGUACAGUUAGCGCGCUACUCACAGCUCAUGUCGAUUCCAAAGCUGAAUAAUAAGGUGAACACGCUCGUAGAGAGUCGUUACAUAGAGUAGAGUAGUGCGCACUGGCACCCCAUGCAAACUAUUAGACAGCAAAGCAGAAUCUGUUACCUCCAGAAGGUAUCUUUGAAGACUUCCAUGCAUUAACACAUAGAUAAUAGACCAUCACUAUCGCUGACUCGUUGAUUUCGUCGACGCAUUGACUCGUUGAUUUCGUCGACGCAUUGACUCGUUGACUUAAACAGGGUCGGCUCACAAAUACACUGUUCAGCGCCAAAGAUGGAGUGCAUCAUCAUCGGAAGCGCACAUCGGCGUUGACGAGUUUGCGUCGCACGAUGCGACGUUACGCCUGAGCUACGGUUUCAGCGGCGAGUUGACGGGCUAUUAACUCGUAUAUCUUAUUUGUCGUAACACUUAGCUAAGGCGCACUUUGUUACCUUCGAAGAAGGUACCUGAGGUACUUUUAUUGCGACUAAGAAAGCAACACUGCGCGGCCUUCCCGCUCUAUGGACGACCACUGUUCUGCGGGACGUCUUUAUCGUUGCGCUUGGCGUGCACGUAGUCGUCGUCCUCACACGCACGCCACUUGUGAACGAGGAAUCGACGCCAAGGCGUCUUCUGAUGAGGCGGUGGUAGACGUCGAAGUUGACCGAUGCAUCAAUGAAAAUUUGGCCUUCUAACUGUGGGUUAGUGGCCCUUCUUAGUCCUUCUUUCGCCGAAGCUCCAUCGAUCAAACUCGAGACCGCCUCAGACUCAUCCCAAACCAGAGCCUCUUCUAGCUCUAAGCUAGCUAGCUUAUUAGCUACCGAAGGAACGAAGGUACUAUAUACGCGAUUUACAUGAGUAACUCGCGUGACGUUGACGUAUGAAAUCCAGUCAGAAAUCCAUGUACGUGUAUUUACCCUGGGUAUUCCCGUAACAAAAAAACCAUAGGCAGUAAAAAUCCGCGUUUCGUUGGCAUAUGAAUGCAGAUAAGAUAGGAAUCACACAUACAAACUCUCAAAUUCGGCGGUGCUAUUUCAUUCUUCAACGCGCGCGAGCGAAGUCGCGCCGCAGGAGAAUCACGGCAACAUGUCAACAUGCUCAAACCGAUGACACAGAACGCCAUGCGUGACCCGUGCUAACCAGCAUUUCGCUACAAGGGCAAGCGCUUCCGGUACACAAGUUUCUGUUCCCGACUUCUCACAAUUCAAUUGUCACAUUUCAGUUGGUGGCCGUCCGCGCGGCGUGCGCAUUUCAUCGUGACCUUCAUGCGCUUCACACUUAUCGGUGCAGACCUCGGCGACUACACUUGUCGGUGCAGACCUCGGCGACUACGACUCGGCAUUAAGCUGAGAUAGUGGGCGCAGAAGUGCAUCUCCGCCAUGCCGGUUCGCCAACGAAUCGACAAACACGUGAGAUCCCGUCCGUGAAGCUCCGAUGUAUCUCACCCGUUUGGAGAGACUCCUGUGAGACUCAGUCAGAAAACCGGUGUGUGUAUGAGUAUUGAGUGAGUGUGUCUGUUUACACAUAGGCCAACAUUAGACUGUAUGUACAUAUACACUGAUUUGCAUCUACAACGACCUCCACUAUACAUUCUUCUGUACGAAGGUAUUCUGGAUUUCAACCAGGUUGCUUGGCACACUUUUACGCCGAUAACUUAUAAAAUGAUAAGUCAUCACCUUUAACUUUGGAGCUAAAGGUACCAUUGAUUUAAUCGUCGUAUGGUAUGGAUAACAUAGUCAUCAAAUUCACGUCUAAGGUAUUCUGGAUUUCAACCAGGUUGGAAUUCCUAAAGCGAUACCUUAUAAGGUAUCGCUUUAGGUUAACGAUGAUAAGUCUGAGUUUAACGUUGGAACGUGAAUUUGAUGUAGCGCUAGACCAUCGUUCUUGAUUUAAUUGUGUCAAAAAUGUCGACAACUAUAUGUAGCGCUAGACCUACGUUCUUGAUUUAAUGGUGUCAAAAAUGUCAACAAUAUAUGGGACGAAUAGACCUUCGACCUUGAUAAACGAUACCAGGUGAUUGUUACAUUUUGGUAAGUUGGGGUCGUGUAAAGAUCGGCUAGCCGAAUACCGUAUGGGAGGAUUAACUCAAGAAUGACGAGUUAUCUGGAAAUUUUCGUUUUGAUCGAUUUUCACUCUCAAGACGCUAUUUUCCCAUUCAACCGCGCGGCGCCGUACGGCAUGACGAGCGCGGUUCCGAGGGAGCAAAGCCGAACGAGCCCGAGGAGCGCGGAGCGUCCCCUCGCUCUCGAUCCUCGCCCGCACUCCUCCGCUGCCGCGCGAGCGAGUCUGAGGUUUCUGGUGCGCUCCGCGACGGAGCGAAGGACCUCGCGAGGCGAAAUUUCCUUUCAACUCCCUUUCAAACGCUACCCGAUCAAAAAUUUCGGGAGCAACCGGGCGGACAAAUCUGAAAAUUUUCCCCUCCGGGGUGUCCACACCUGCCUGAAAUCCAGAAUACCUUCGAAGGUACGAAGGUAUAGAAUACCUUCGAAGGUAGAAUAUAAUGUCGAAUGGCCAACUUUAUUAUUUGUAAUAUGAUACUCUUACCUUCAUAUGAUAUCAACUUGAGAUUUCUUCACACACGGCGCGCCGGGCGAUUUCCAAAAUGCGCUCAACAACCCCCAUUUCAAGUUAAGCAGCGGCUUUGUCUUUGGGAAGCCGGAUUUCGCCGACGAUGCCUGCGCUGAUCCUUUUUGGACGCUCUUGGCUUGUCGCUUCAGACGAUCUCCCUAUCCCGAUGCUAUGUUUGAUGGUCGUGCACACAGUUUGGUGCGAGUUUUCGAAUCAUAUACUCGCGCUUCGCGCAGUACGAGAUACAAUGGCCACUUAUCCUUCUUGCGCAGGUGCACUGUCGUUCUGCUUGUCUACGAAAGUGAGUACUUCUGUUUAUCUGUAGAUUUCCACGGCCACGCUUUCCUCUCCGCCCGAUUGUUCCAAGCUCCACCUUGACUUUUGUCGCAACAGGAGCGCACCAGGGGCUUGAAAGUCGUUGUGACGCCGGAAAGACAGCGUUGGCGUGGCUAUUUGGAACGUUCUUCUGUUUUCUAUUCAGCACUUGUCUGGAAGGGCUCAUUCUUCGGCACUCACUCAAGGGCUGUAUUCUUCAGCCAGGAGCGAGGCAACAUGUCAAUGGCCUUUUAUACUUACACUUCGUAGUUACUAUUGCCGACUUAGCUUUUACCAUUCUCGGUACGUUUCUGGAUUAUCAUGUUGGAAACUCUUGCUAUGUUCGAAAUCAUGUGCACGCGGCUAUUGUUGUCGUGAUAGUCGGGAACUAUUUCAUCAUAGCUUGCAACUUUUUGGGCAUCGCUUUGAUUUUCAGCGUGUAUCCAGACCUCUCGUCUGAAGAAAAGUGGAACAGAAUGUUCACCAUGCUAGGUUGUUUCCUAUGCCUGCCGCAGGGAAACGGACACGAUCGUGACAGUCAGGGAUCGCUUUCGCACAUUGCCAAUUGCUUUGGCGAGGUGUUCCAAGGCGCUGAUCUUGUCCCUAGUGACAUAGCAGCAGGUCUCGCUUUGCUUGCUCUUCAGCACCGCAGAAUGCUCGAAAAUGAAAUGUUGGGAAGGAGGGCGUCUUGCAGCGCUUUGCCAAAAGGUACCCUUUUCGAUGUAGCCUCGAAACCUUGGGCAAACAAACCCCUUCGCGCAUCUGCCGUGAAUGAUGAUGAGAUUACACCAUGCUCGGGAAACAUUGACACACCUGAAGAAUUGUACAUCACUGAUGAAUCUUUAGCCAAUGUGCUCAGUGAAGCUGCACAUUAUGCGCGCUGGGCGUUGGCGGCGUAUGGAUGGUUGCUGUAUACUUGGGCAAAUCCCAGUGGUGGUCUUGCGUUGGUUUGCUCUGCGCAGGACGCACAAAACUGUUGCUACCACAGGUCAUCGCGCAUUUCAAUGGGCGGGGAUAGAAGAAACAACAGAACAAAAGGGGAUGAUCUUGAUCGCUCGGCGCUAAAAGUAUGUGCUGGAAUUAGCGAUGAUGACUUAUUUCAUGUCUCUUCAACUAAUGGGCAGGACAACAUAUUGAUUGACAUCUUAUUUUUAUAUCACCUCAGAACCCGAUAUAUCAUGUGACACGAGAAACAAAUGUUGCACCUUACAAACUGGGUUGGCGAACAACCAUACUUCAUUGCAAGGGAUUCAGCGCGACACGCUAUCGUCGUCUCAAUUAGAGGCACAAUGUCUGUUCAGGAUUGUAUAACCGAUUGCAUGUAUAAACCUGUGUUAUUAAAUGCCGAUGUAAUCGGCCUGCCUCAUCUCUCUGGAUGUCAGCUUCAUUGUCACGCGGGUGUAGUCACUGCGACGAGCUUUAUCCUUUCUGACCUUGAAAAACAUGGCAUUCUUCAUCGCCUGCUACUCGGAAAUACAUGUUCACUCGGGUCCAAACAAAAGCGCAAACAUUGGCAUCGAGAUGAUGUGUUUGGAUCCAACCGAUUUGGCGGGCAUCAAGGGUGGACACUUGUACUGUGUGGCCACUCUCUGGGGGCGGGAGUGGCAACUGUACUUUCACUCCAUUUACGCCAGACAUUUCCUUCUGUUCGGGUCUGGGCUAUCGAACCCCCAGGCGGGCUCUUAUCCGCUGAACUCGCUGCUGCUUGCCGAGAAUGGACAAUCAGCAGCAUUCAUGGGUCUGAUUUGAUCACGCGACUGUCAGGGCCUUGCUUGCUAAAAUUGAGACAUGACCUGGUGGACUCACUGGUCAGGUGUAAAGUGAACAAGUUCACACUUUUAGCGCGCCUCUCCUGUAGUCCUGAUAUUGUUGAACCUGAUGAUUUUAUUAUGCAGCCAGGAGAUCGUGAAAACGAAGCCAAUACAUUUCGUCAGGAAUUCGAAAGAUUUCAUAUCCAACAGAUUAAAGACCGGCCGCUCAUGGUAGCACCGCUUUAUCCACCUGGACGCCUAUUGCAUCUCUGCCGUAUUCCCAAAAACAGUGGGAGUCAGCCUGUACUUGGAUACGAAUACGAGGUUCGAUGGAUCUCUGCGAAGGAUUUGAUGGCCCAGGGCUUACUUGUCAGCAGAAACUUCUUUACCGACCACUUUCCAGACAAAGUAGUCGCAGUCUUGUCCGAGCUAUCUAUGGUAAAAACCCGUAAUACCUGUCCCAUUAUCUGGCCCAAAAUUCUAGCAACUCUCCACUUAUGCUUGACUAAAGCUAUAAUCACCCGUUGUAACAGAAAUUCCGCACUAAAGACCCGACGCUCGACAAAAUCAAUCGAUUGGGGACUUUUAUUCAAACCGAGGGAAACCAUGCUGCCCCGCCUACAUAGAACAUUCUCUGCAAACAGAAAGACGUUUUUGUCUCAGAUGACGAGGGAAUCACGUGCACAAACACAAUGUCGUCAACGUGUGGAAGCUUAGGCAAACAAAAGACCCGUACAACUGCGAAAUCGUCUACAUUUAUUGAGCAAAAACUAGUAGUGUCGCCUUAUGUCGACGUAUUCACUUCAGCAAUGUCACAUUUUCUAUAUCUAUUGCACAUCAAGUAUUGUUUUUCUACGGUUCACCAAAAAAAAACUUAAAGGUCCUCAAGAUCGCAGCGCUAUUAAUAUGCAGCUCCUUCAUAUAGAAUGAGUCCUUCCCAAACGUACUCAUUUGCAAUUUGCAGGACAGUAAACUAGUUUAAUGUUCCUUCCUCGUUUCCAAGCCUGAGAGGCCCACGACUUUGAUUCGAUGCUCGAACUCCCAAGGUUUCCAAGAGGCCAUUUGUGAGACGAGGCGGAGUUCAUCCUUCGCCUGCGCAACUAGCUCUUCUAUCUGACCAACCCCGAUCGAAGACUCUAUAUCAGUCGGGUUUAGUGUUUUCUCGAUGAUAUCGAGCCGGCUCUUGUAUGUCGCUUCUACAAUCUUCCGGUAUCCCGUUCCUUCGGGAAUUUUUUUCUUCACUUGGGCGAGCAUCUCCUUCACAACAGUUGCCAGGGCUUCCCUUGCAUUUGGUAAGGCCUCAAUGCCCACUAUACCAGUCGUAUGCUUGUACGGUAUCAUCGCGGUAGAUGAGUAACGGAUGCUCAUAGGAGUUUGGCCGCGGGGGGGGGGGGGGGGCGGGGGGGGGUGAUUUACGCGGGCUGGCAGGGAGAAGUUCUUUGCAACCUUCGUAUCAUCUAAGUGUUAUCAUAUAUGAAGGUAUAUAAAAAAUAUCAUUAAAAUAUCCAUAGACUAUGUUUCGUAUGUACACGCAACAUCGAGUUUUAUAUGUGUAUCCGUUUAUCAAGCAAGGGUUUUAAAGGCCGCAUCCCAGCAGCAAGUUAGGGAAGAAAAUAAAAACGGAGGUUCAAAUAAUAAAUACGAAGGUACGAAGCAAUGCAAGGUACACACGUACAUACGAAUAUAGAAGGUAGUCUACCUUCGUAUGGAAUACCUUCGUACGUAUAUAUUAAUAAUAAUACCGUCUUCGAGGAUAGAAUACGAACCUUCAUUCGUAAGUUUAUUUCGAAGGAUGUAUGAGAUUAUUAAUCUCGCUCUGAUAAAUAAUAAUAUUAUAAAUACCUUAGUUAUUAGUUCGUAUAUAUGUAAUACGAAGAUAUGAUAAAUAUUUUAUGAAUGAUAAAUAUUUAUUUAUUACCUUCGUAUUUUAAUAAUAAUAUGAAUGAAGGAAAAAUAAAGAGAAAAUGAACGAUCGAUGUUGUUGUUGGUCGUUCAUCUCCAAUCAACCUUACUUUUGAAAAAUCGUUUUCAAGCGGAUCUCGGAUGGACAUCCGUUCUUAGAGUGUUCUUAUUAGUGAUGGGCAUUACUACGAAUCGACCAAGCUGAUUGCUCAUAUAUAGAGAGUGCGUCUUUGAUACGAAAAGUAUGCAAACCCCGUUGGUUAUUACCUUCGAAGGUAAUAGCUAUCUAAUAAUAAGCUACCUUCUCGAGCUAGCUAGAGCUAUAUUUAUAGAAUGCUAUAGAUAGUAUAUAGAAUGCUAUAGAUAGUAGUGAGCCUACGAACGAAUGAAGGUGCUUUCUAUUCGUACGGCAGUAGAUUAUAUGUAGCAUGUAUGUAUCCAUAGUCUACCUUAUUAUUCUUCGUAACAUAUCUUGCUUUGCUUCAUAAGUGUAUAUAUGCACACGAAACCCUUAACAAUUACACAUAUAUUGCUAGCUAGCUAGCUAGAUAUAUAGGAGGUUAACCUUCUCUUUGCUCCAAGAAACGGGGCCGCUGUCAACGCCUGGAGAAUGGGGGGAAGCUGCGGCGACCGAGUGGACGGACCUUGGACAGCUGCUUCCGUCGCGGAAGUGCACAGACGUCACACCGCAAAAACCCAGUGCCUGGGUGGCAUCGGGAAGGUGAGACCGCGCGCGGAGGACGCGCACACAACUACCUUGAGUCUAAAUUCCCACCACCAUAAACUAAUCUUGGCACGCAUUUGGUGCUUCCUUGUUCCGAAGACGGGAGGCCUCGCUGCCUGCACAAAAUAGUGGGUCAGAUUAAUUUUACAAUCGCGGCCGAAUCAGAGGAUAAGGGCACUGCCAUUGGUCUGCAAGGCUGCCAUCCCUUGAACCAGCAAUAUAGUGAACCCUAACACGUGGGCAUUACGCAGCAAAUCGCGCGCAUGCAUCCAACGUCUCAGUUGGGACACUUGGCACACGUUUCGCCAUGCGCUUUACGAUGAUCGGCCUUGACUCACUUGCUCCUCGGUUUGCUUGGAGUGGCCGAGCCAGCAACCACCUUUCAGCUGAAAUUCGCGGUUCUUGAACGAACUGGACACGACGUGCCAGUUCGACUGUUCACAACACCAUGGGCAUAUGGAUACGUGUAAAAUUCUAUCUGUGUGUACCAUAGCUAUGGUCUUGGAACGGAUGCCGCCGAGGAGCGCAUAAAUGAUGCCGCUGGCUAGUGUUCAGUCACAAAAGUUUGAAGACAUGCAUUGCAGAGGUAACUAACACGCCAUGGGGGGAGCGUAUGCGGAUCAAUUUCUUCCCGAGGGGCGCAAGAGUGCCAAAGUGCUCGCAUGCAUCGCCGUUUCUCGAUAUGCAAGGAUAAAGGCAAUUGACGGCGGUGAAUCAGAGAAGGACUGCCAGCUCAUGGUUUCCGUGGUAUGACGCCAAAAAAAUGGAGACGUGAAAUUUUUUUCCAAACUCGAUGCUGAACGAGACCAAGAAGCCCUGACGCGAGAAAUAAACGCGGUGGGAUUUUGCAUCUCCUUCAGCAUGUGUGUACACCUCACAGAAAAGCGUUUUGGAUAUAUGCCGAGAAGGUGUCUCUGGUGAGCAAAAGAUUCAGCAUGCAUCCUCCUCCGGUCCCGAAAUUUGUGGCCAAGGCAGUGUGCCACCCGAGGUUAGGUGCAUGCCCUAGGGUCCGGUGAUAUCGUAGGCGUGAAGUGGCCCUUGCACUCAACGUGGCAAGCUGCGCGCACAUGGCCGUGGAGAACAUGACUCAUACGAAGGUAAUAGCGAGCUCCAAAUCCUACUUCAAAACGGAGGGAAAGUUAGUGAGCAUUCUUUCACGUAACACUAUUCGUGAAUACAAGCAAAGUCACUCAAGAUCUUCACAGCGAUUUGACUCCACCGCGGGGAGGGAAACGUCACCAACUCCACCGAUAAUCUGCACACUAGUGUCACCAAACGCAGCCAACUCGCGCGGUGCUGUUUUCCCAUCUGCCUUUAUCUUCACGCAUACACGCAAAAUGUUUGCCGCCGAAAGAAUAUGAAGUGGGCAACCUUUACUUGUCUUUCUCUGAGCCCAUCUCUCUGUGUAUGACUGAAAGUUAUUUCCGAGAAAGAUGUGCGAUCGAAGAACACCUGGAUUUACCCAGUUUGCCUUUAACACGUUUUCAUACAGGACAGCUUCACAGUGUGGCAUGAACCAAAAAGUCGGGUCUUUUGUGGGCUGAGCAUCUGGACCAGCAUAUUUAUCACAUUCUUCCCUUGUUAAGAGUGUCGAAUUUUCUGAACUACAGUUGCUGGUAUUGUAAGAUUUAUUCGGUUGGUUCGGAUGAUCGACGAUAGAUCCAAAGAUCUUAUGAAGGGACCCGACGAGCUCUUUAUCAACUGGCGUAAACACUGGGUCAUAAAGCUCCACGGCCGAAAAAGUGAGCCCAAAGUGUUCUAGUAAGAUUAUUGCGAAAGAAAGCUGCAAGCGAGCAUCAAUUGAAUUCGAAGGCGAGCCUAAUCCGAGAAUGAUGCAACGACUUAGGUUUGUAUUCGAACUGGUUACCCCAGAAAAUUUCAAGUCUUCGAGAAAGGUAUUGACAAACUUUGCCCCGCGGAGCUGAGAGAUGGAGCGCCUUAACAGAUCGAUGGUGCGCUCUAGCGUUACACCGGGACCGUCCUCGCUGGGGCGCACGUCUGCAUCUAUCCGGGCCUUGAGCGUUGCGAAUGCUGCAAAACAAAUCAAAAAGAGAGGCGCGACUUUCAAGAAUGUUCGCAAAGACAAUAAACGCUUGGGACUGGAGGACUGCAGGCGAUUCUAACCAUCAAUUCCACUGACUUACCUGCAGAGUUCAUCCUACGGCAAGAUUUUCUCCCCACGACGGUCCAACCUAGCCGUGUUCAGUUGCACAACAGAGUGAUUAAGACUGCCGAGACUCGCGGUUGACUGACUGAUCUACUCACCGUCCUCCGACAUUUGAAACGACGUUCACUAGCUCGCUCUAACUAAUAAGCAGAAUCGUAACCUUGGGAGCUACUGAUGAAGAUGAUAGCGGCUCGCCCUUCACUAAGUCUGUCCGUCAUUUUUUUGCGGUAGGGUCCGGGUAAACUACAAAGCGACCUCACCAGGAGGGAAAUGCGCAGGAACCUCUCCCCGUCGGCCCACGCACGCGCAAAGCUACCUCCGUAACUAUCACCUUCUUAUUGUAGUCCGAAGGACAGAUUAUUAUGCACAACAUGGCUGCUGUGUUGAAGAUUAUUUUGGGGGGUACAAGUCAUCCUUACUUGAUGAGUUGAUUUCCCCAUAUAUAUACUGACGCGCGCCACGCGCUGACAGGAGCGGUUUUCAACAUGAGCAAGAUGCGCUCUCACAUAGCCGCUGACGCGCGAGUAACAAGCGGCGCGCUGUAUCUUUAGAGUCCUCGCCGUGUCUUUAGGGGUUUGGGGUUGGGCUUUCAGGGUUUAGAGUUUAAACAGCCGCGAAGCGGCUCGUCGGCCACUCCCUAUUUACAUCAAUUUCCUGAAGCAUGCCACGCGCUGCAGGCCCCUCCCUCUAAAAAAAAAAUUCAUAACGCAGAUGCACAACAUCCCACGUUAAAUACCUUCUUUCGAUAAUAAUAAACACGAGGUACGAAUGAAGGUAACUUUUACCGAAUGAAGCUUAAUAUGCCACGAGCUUUAUUUAUUUUCCCUUAUUUCAAUUAGCCUACUCCAGCCUGCCAGCUGCUGCCUGCUUUAUUUCUUGAUUUGUUACAUGUAUUACACAUAGACUAUAUGUAUGCUUCGAUUCGUAUGUACGUACGAAGGCACAUUAUUUAUUAGCUAUAUAUAUGAUAUCUAUCUGGAUAUAUGGAAUACAAGCAAUGCAAGGGACGAAUGAAUGAACGAAGCGAAGUAAUAAGGUAUGGAAUACAUGAUAAUCUCUAUCCAUACACGUGCGUGCUAUCCCUUAGAAAUAUCAUAUAUAUACGUAAUACGAAGGUAAAUAAUAUGUCGAAGGUAUUACGUAUGUACAUAUGACUUAUAUAUAUAUGUAUUCUGGAUUUCAAUCAGGUUGGAACACUUUUACGCCGAUAACUUAUUAUAAAAUGACAAGUUAUCACCUUUAACUUUGGAGCUAAAGGUACCAUUGAUUUAAUCGUCGUAUGGUAACAUAUAUAAGUGUAACAUAGUUAUCAAAUUCACGUUCCAACGUUAAACUCAGACUCAUCAUCGUUUACCUACAGCGAUACCUUAUUAUUAUAAGGUAUCGCUUUAGGUGUUCCAACCUGAUUGAAAUCCAGAAUACCUUCGAAGUAAUAAGGUAUAUAUAUACCAGUUAUUAUCAUGAUUAUUCCUUCUGCGAAACACAACUAUCUGGUUCGAAGGCUGGGAGGUUCCAUGCAACGCGUGCGACGAGAUACGUCCAGCGGAAUCGAUGACAAACGACUAAUUCCAAUAAUGCAUAUUGGACGGCGGCGUUAACGUCGUGUCCUGACCGCUUCCGGUAGCGAGAGCACCGUUCAGCGCUUCGGAUAUGCGAUACAAGGAGAACUACUUGUGAAACUGUUGUAUUUUGCGACAAACUCUGAAGAUGCAUUUUUCAACGGCUUGGUAUCAUCAGCCUUGCUUUGUUGAGCGGUGGACACUGUUGUCAGUAGUGCUUUUGAUGCAAGUGGAGCUCUUCAGCUGUGUCUUUACAGAUGCGCUGCCGGAAUUUCACUUAUACCCGUCAAAAGGAUCGGCCAACACCAUCUUUAAAAUAGGAGGCCCAGACUAUCUGAACUCUUCACGCACCCGUUUUCGGUAUGGCCUUUUAUGUGGCUUUCACUCGUCAGUUUCUUUUCCAACGCUGAUAUUCUCUUCGCAGAAUCGGGAACCAAAUAUUUUUACCAUUCGGGUUUGAAAAAGUCGGAUACGAAUCGAUAGUGGGUUUAGAAGUUUCGUCGCUCGAAGGCAGCUUUUUUAGUGUACAAGUGACUCGAAACGGACGCGAUUUUUCUGACACUGGUAUCUUGUUUCAAUAUGGUAGGAUUAACUAAAAUAUAACUUAAACCGAUGCGCGUUUGCUGGAUUUCGUUGUUAAUCUUGUUGAAAUUCAGUUCAUGCAACUUUGAAUGACGUGCAUCCAGUAAAAGUAAUGAAAAGCGGUGGAACGGUUGUAACGGUAAUAAGAGUAAAACAACGAUUCUGUAAGUUUGCGAGACCAUUUCCUUCCUCGACAGAUACGCGGCAGUGGAUUGUCAGACGGGUACUAUUGUCGCUCAAAUGGCCUUCCAAGCAUUCUGGUUGAAGGAGCAUCGACGUCUUCUGUACUGAUGAAGUGUGAAAUUUCCAUUAUGGAACAUGCAGAGCGCUCCACAUCUCGUAUUUUCAUUUCAGCAAAUCCAGAUCUUGGCCUGCUGUCCGAAGGCCAAACGCUCCACUUGCUAGGUCUCCCCAAUGAUUUAAGUAGUUUUGUACCAUCACACUUAAUCUUGCUUUCAAAACAGAGGAAGCAAAAUAUUCGCGACUAUCUGAUCUCGAAGUGCAGCUCCAAGGUUCGCUAUCAUUUUGACUUUUUAAUGAUUCCGGCAAUGAGAGCAUGGAACAUUUUAUACACGCACACACAUCUGCAGUAUAACGCUGCUCUCCGCAUCAUACGGAAUUGCACUCCUCGAUCUCAUCAAAUCUGAAUAUAAUUCACUCAGGGUCCCUCUUUACCGAUCAAUCGGCGUCUGUGUGGUGCAAACUGGGAAAUAUAUGUUCCUUGGGUCGGAUCAUAUCUGCGACGCGGUGAGAGGACAUUUUAAGGACAUUUUAAGUUUGAUGAUCAAAAGAUUCAGUUGGCCAAACAACUCAGAAUGAGCUGCACGGAUCAAAUUCGGCAACGUGAAGGACGUCACUUGCAAAUAUCAAUGAAUCAGGAAAGCUUCACGAGGCGACUGACUGAGGCCAGCCUUGAGUUUUUCAUUCUCUCUGUAGGUCGACUUCACAAUUGUUCAGGACAUGCACGUCGCCCACGUUAGAGACACAGUUAGAAACAAACGCGAUCGCGAAGAAGAAGAGCACCGCAUUUCCGAACGUAAGAGUCGAGUCGCCCUUUCGAGGUUCCUGGAUGCAGAGAGAGUAAUCAAUGCGAGAUACACGGUACAGAAUACAGUUCCAAUAAAACCCAAUAUUUUUAUGACACCGUUUAGCCAGGCUAUUUCCAUCGCCAACACAAUGUUACAAUUUCAUCAUUAUUCUGACUCAUCAGUGUCGUUCACUUCUAUGUUGCCGCCAACCAUCGACUCUCUUAAUCCAGCCGUUGGGACGUUUGGAGGCGCUCAUAUGACCUGGUUGACUGGCAAAAAUUUUGCAAGUUCAUUAGUUCAUUUCUUGUCAUGUUAUCUCGAUCUGACUAAUUCUUUGUGAUUUGCUGUAGAUAAAUGAUGAUGUAUACAAGUUGCACUGCUCAUUUGGGAAUAUAUCUCAAUCUGCCCGUUUCAUAUCAUCAUCAAUCGUCACUUGUGAUGUUCCCAUGGUGCUAAAGGUAAUUUUUGAAAGGAAAAUAUACUGUUUCUGAUCCAAAAACGCACGUGAGCCUCCUGUUCUGAGCCUUACGUUAACUUGCAGCAUGGUUCGGUUGAUCUCACGAUAUUGUCCUCAUCGACAUCGUCGGGUGUCCGAACAGAGGUGAUCAACGUCGAUUUGCAAGAAACUUCAAACAUCAUUUCAAAAACGUCCAGUGGCUCUCAUGGUGUACGUAUUGCAGGCCGGUUUACACUACACACUUCUCGCCCGUGCUCUUGUAGGAUCACUUGCACCAAAACGGGGAACUGCGAGGUAUAUAGAUUGAUUAUUUUUGCAUCAUCGCUUGGGAUGUUAGUCGUUGAAAAACUGCAGGGGUGGUACCGUACUUCAUCUACGUGGAUCUGGGUUUUUCAACUCAUGGGAUUUGAGGUGCAAGUUCGGAAGUAUUCAAGUUAACAUUGCAUAUGUGAGUGAAGCCGAAAUACGGUGCUUUUCACCUUCACGAGCUCACGGGGAAUCCGACAUGCAAGUCAUCCUCAGCGGUCGACAUGUUUGCGGCGCGUCGGCGUACAUGUUUGUUGUAUAGCGAACAAAGCGCACUGAUGAAGCCCCCAGUAUUGAAGAGAUUGAAACCGGCCUUUACACGUACAUGACAUUUCAUUCGCAACAAGAAUAUAGGUCAGACACGCUAACAGUGGCUGCUGGAAACUAAAUCUAUAGCGCACUGAUGUGUGCAGCUCACUGCUGUUGACUGGCGCUUGUGUUUGAGUUGCUAUUGCACUGAAAACCCUUCUUUAACUGCGUGUCAUGUAGCUCCAGAAUCAAUAUCAUUCGCCUGAUGCUUCAUAAACAUCUGCUCUUCUUGAACCAUGCGGAAACUCUUGAGCUUUUCCUGAUGAGUCAACGCGGGAUUUCAAAAGAUUCCUGGCAUUUUCGCAGUAAGCUGCAUACCACAAAUCGUUUCCUCUUCACCUCCAUCAGCUUUGCCGAAUGCAUGCCAUGAAAAGUGCGAGCUCCCUGUGAUAAGGAAGGACGAAUCAUGAAAAAAUAUUUAAAAGAAUGAUCUGUUUCAGCUUGCCGUGAUCCAUGGAUGCUUUAAGGCUUCGUUCACCGUCAUUCGUGCUGUUGUGUCGACCUGCAAGUGCUAUGUGACUUUCUGAAACGAAAAUGAUUAAGGUUAGCUCCUACUGUUAAAAGCCUCUGCACGCAAUCUUUGGCUUCUGAACUAAUGUGGUUCCAAAGGUAGUCAUCCAUGGAGUACUCCCCUGAUCGAAUCUUCUGAAAUAAAACCUGAAGAUGUACGCGUCAAUGGUCUAAACUGGGACUUGUGAGUCAUCAGAAAACUUUGGUGAGCUCCACGAACCUGCUCAUCCUCAAUAUCAAAUGGUGAGUUGCCCUAUGAUUUUUCCAGAGCAUCGUCAUCCAAUAGUUUUCACCAAGCAAACAGUGUAGCUAUAUCUAACCGUCAAAAGGAUAUAUACAAUAACGCCAAUGCUCCACAUAUCAACUGCAGGGGUGUACUGCGCGUCUUUUCACAUUAGGACAUGCUAGGUGCUGGAAAAGGCUUGUUAAAGUACUGAUUUUUACCGUUUCUGAAUUUGUUCCGAUGUCCAGAAUCUCUGGCGCAACAUAAAGUGGAGAACCACAGAUUGUUCGCAACUGACUGUCAUCAGUGAAAUACCUAGCAUUCAUGAGCACGUUUGUAAACUUGUAUGCCUCUCUCAAAACAUUUGCGACACACCUUGCAAGCCCAAAAUCAGCAAUUUUUACCUUGGCUUGAGGCGUCAGGUUUGAUAACAUAAUGUUCUCGAGCUGGUGAUUGCAUCAGAGAUGUUAAUCCUUUAAAACAUGUCAUAUGCACUGCUGCAGUCACCUUAAGGUCGCGGUGCACUAUAUUUCUUUGAUGCAGGUAUUCAACACCUUUCAAAAUCUGUGAAACAACCGCACGCGCAUCAUCCUCAGAGAAACAUCCGGCGUUCGUUAUUCUGUAUCUCAAUAGGUUGACGAUCCCAAUCGAACGAAAAUCCAAGUUUUUCACCUUUCGAGCAGCUCUCCGCCCGAGGCAAGCUCAGUCACGAUGAAUACUUUUGUUGGGGCAACGUAUGUGCAGAUUAACCGGAUUAUAUUUUCGUGUUGAACCUGAUCAAAGGAAAGAUGUCGGACCAAGCUGAGACAGUAGACUAUUUUUUUAUAAAGCAAUCAUCUCGCCUCUGAGAGAAUGUAAACCUCGCGUUCGAGACUGCUGUCCGAAGGAAAAUACUGUGUCUUGUCUACUUCCUGGAAGGAGCUGUAAGCCUCUUUGUUUCGGAGGUUCUGUAGCCUACUACCUUAACUGCAACAAACUCGUUGCUAAGCCGAUCAAGGCCUCUAUGAACUGUUGCGAAACCUGUCGAUACUCACGAACUGUAAUAUAAAUACAUUCGCGAGGCAAGAUGCGGCCAUACCUCCAACACCGAUCUGUUCGAUAAGCGUGAAGCGUUGGAAAAACUGUUCCGUGUCCUGCCCGAACUCAACUCGGCUUGACAUCCCCUUUAGCUAGGAAAAGGUUGGGAUGAAAUUUCGAGCAGGCGCGCGAAGUCAAAGAAGAGAUCAACAGGCAGGCAUCGACUUAUGACUGAGUCCCGGCAUGCUCUGCCCUAUCGUGCACGGAUAGAACUGUCGGCUGGUCGAGUCAUCGCAACUGAGGGGAAAUAUUGCCGAAUUUCCCGCACGUUCAUAAAUAAAUCCCUUAAGAUUAGUCUACUACGUACGCGUACAUAUAUACGUAUAUAUAUGGAUACGUACGUAUCACUUACGUAUCUAUUAGCUUCGAAGCAAGGUACACAUAUAUAUAUAAAUAUCAGUGUAAAUAUCUACAUACCCACAUACCUUCAUUAUUAUUCGUACCUUCGUUCGAAGGUAUAAUAAUGUGAAGAUAUGUAUGGAUACCUUCGUCGUACGAAGGUAUGGAUAUAUAUAUUAAAAUACCAAUCAAGUAAGCAAGCAAGGUACGUUACCCUCGAAGGAAGGUACCUUCGUUCGUACCUUCGAAGGUAUAUAUGGAUACCCCGAAUGAAGGUAUUUAAAAAAAUUCUCCAAAGGUCGAAUCAAUCGUCUGUGUGAGUGAUCGUGUGGUGCGAGAAUUCGUCCUCUGGGUGGUCGGCAUAGCCGCGAGGCAUGCAUGCAUACACGAUACUAUCGUUCGUACUAAAGGCUUGAUUUACAUCUUUUUAGGUCGUUGCGUCACCCUAUCAAAUAUGUAAAUGUAAAUAUCCAACCCUAUUUAAAUACCCGUUUAUAUGAGUAAACGUAAUGUGACAACUAUGAGACGCUGACUCAAGGUUCUCGAGCUAAAAAUCCAAAAAUGUUGACAACUAUAUGUAGCGCUAGACCAUCGUUCUUGAUUUAAUGAUGUCAAAAAUGUCGACAACUAUAUGUAGUGCUAGACCAUCGUUCUUGAUUUAAUGGUGUCAAAAAUGUCAACAAUGUAUGGAACAGAUAGACUAUCGUUCUUGAUUGAUAAACGAUACCAGGUGAGUGUUACAAUAAUAAUGUACCUUCGUACGAGACAAACCUUCGACCUUGAAAAACUAUACCAGGUAGGUGAUUGUUACAUUAUUUAUAUGGAAGUUAAUAAGGUGGUGUAACAUCGCUCGGCUAUGCUAGCUAGUAAUACGAAGCAAAGGUAUGGAUACGUACACAUAUAUAUACUAUCAUAUGUCCACAUACAUAUCUUCGUUCGUAUGAGUUUCGUAUGUAGUUAUUUAUACACUGUUACUAUGGAUACCUUCGUUUAAUAAUCAACGAGAACGGACAUCCGUUUAAACGGAUUUUCAAAACUGAUCGUGCAUACAUGUAUGGUGACAUUUCCAGAUAACUUUUCCAACACUUAAAUUCCGUGAAGGUUCGCCAACGUUUCCGCCGGCCGUGUGCCCCAGAAGUCAGCCCGCGCGCGCAUGAACUAGAGAGCGGCGCACCCGCCUCCGAAUCACAAUCGCCCUGGUUUAACCGAACAACCGGUAGCUCCUACAAUGAGCGGUAUGUCUCCUCGAUUCUUGUGAUCAGCUCGUGCUCUGUUAACUCACGACCCGCCCUGGCCACCACGGAAUCUGUAUCGGGACCUGGCCCCAACGCUGUGCUCGUCAGCCCUCGGAGUCGGCUUGCUCACAUACCGCACCAUCGCCCGUCUUCGUAUAAAUAAACAGGACGAUCCACAGGAACCCCGACGGAUCCCGGGCGACAGCAUCCCCCUGCGUCGAUAGUGGCGGGGGCUCCGGGUGCUGGCCCCUCUCGAAUGGGGCCAACUCCUGUUGGAGGGAAAGCUGUCCCUCAGCUCGGCCCGAUGUCCACGAGUGCGCAUCCAAAAAGCUCUGGGGGGGGCGAAGCUGGCGCUCCUGGUAGCAUGAUGCUACCGUCGUUCCCAAAUUUGUCGGGCUCACCACCUGUUCCAGGACUGCAGCACAUUGGACCACCUCCGAGUGGCCCGCUUUCAAGAGGGGUUGCCCAGCCAACUGCCCCACCAACCGUCCAGAUGGCGAACCUCGGAGUCGGAGGUUUGCCCGGAUCACUCAAACAUCCUGGACUUCCCGAUCGACCUAUAGACCCCUUGGGACACUUUACCAAAGGCGGAAGUUCAGUGAGGUCUGCCCCUAACAGCGGCCUGGGUCCAUUAAUGCCUCCGGUAUUGGCUCCCCCACAACCGCAAAGAGUGGGCGUCGCGACGUCUUCUUCCAUUGGCCCGGCCAUAUUAGGAGGGUACCCUGGGGUGGCUUCGUCGGGACAUGGCGCGUUUCCUUCGCCUGCUAUUAUGAGCACGACGGGAACGACGGCGGGCUUCAAUGCAGGAUUGCCUCAGUCAAGUGGUCUGGCAAGCGGGGCAGCCACGCAGCAAAAUUCUUUCGUGGAAGAAUUCUCCUCAUUGCAGCUCGGAGGCGGUGGGUCUAUGGGGGACCAUGGCGCGGAUCCAAGCCAAUUUCCCCGUCCUGGGGACGACGUUCCGGUGCCAAAUAGUGAGUUAAGCUGCGAUCCACGAUAUCUUCGCCUCACGGUGAACGCAUUGCCUGCCAACCAGGCACUGAAGCAGAGAUUUGCUUUGCCUAUUGGCUGCAUGGUACGCCCACUUAUUCCUGGAGAAAAGGUUCCCACAGCGCAAUUUGGCAGCACGGGCAUAGUUCGGUGCCGUAGAUGCCGUACUUAUGUCAAUCCGUUCGUACAUUUCAUCGACGGCGGUCGAAGGUUCCGUUGCAAUGUGUGCCAGCUGCCGAACGAGGUACCGGUCGACUACUUCUGCACGCUCGACGCAAAUGGGACACGAAGAGACAUUGCAGAGCGUCCCGAGUUGAGGCAUGGAACGGUAGAGUUCAUCGCAAGUCAGGAGUACAUGGUCCGCCCGCCGAUGCCUCCGACGUAUUUCUUCGCAUUUGAUGUCUCUGCCAACGCGGUGUCCAGUGGCUUCUUGGCGAAAGCUGUGAAUACAGUGAAGGAAACCCUUGACGAGCUUCCAGGAGGUGAGCGUACACAUGUGGGCUUUCUCACUUACGACAAUGCCAUUCACUUUUAUGGGCUCAAGCCUGGAAGCAUAACACCGCAGAUGAUGGUGGUGGCCGAGCUCGAUGACCCGUUUUGUCCGGCGCCAGAAGAUCUACUGGUCAACCUUGGGGACUCGCGGGGUGCGGUCAACGCCUUGCUUGACAUGCUUCCCAGUGCAUUCGCGGCCACCUCGCAAGUGGACUCGUGCAUGGGCCCCGCGGUGCAGGCAGCUUACAUGGCGAUGAACCAUAUUGGUGGAAAGUUGAUGAUGUUUCAGUGCACCUUGCCAUCUUUAGGACAGGGUCGCCUAUUGAACCGCGGCGACGAUCACAGAAACGCUGGCACUGACAAGGAGCACCUGGAACGAGCUCCUGCAGACCCUUUCUUCAAGAAAAUGGCGGCAGAAUGCUCCAGACAGCAGAUAUGUGUGGAUAUAUUUGCUACGGCAUCACCUUAUGGCGAUCUCGCGUCACUUUCCACCUUGUGUCGGUACACAGGUGGCCAGUUGUACCAUUAUCCAGGUUUUCGACCUGAACGCGACGGAUUGAAACUUUGGAAUGAGCUCAGGCAUAAUCUCACGCGUUUUACCGCGUGGGAAGCAGUCUGCAGGGUGCGUUGUAGUAAGGGCUUCAGGGUUUCCUCUUUCAAUGGUCACUUCUUCGUCCGUUCGAUGGACCUCCUCGCACUUCCUGCCACGAAUGCUGAUGCUGCACACGCGGUGCAAAUUGCGCAUGAUGAACAGCUACCAACCGGCAGCGUAUCUUACCUACAGUGCGCGCUGUUGUACACGAAUGCAGACGGCGAGCGACGAAUCCGGGUGCAUACCAUGGCAGUGCCUGUCGUGCCAGACAUUGCGUAUAUGUUCCGGAGUAUUGAUGGCGGUGCAAUGAGUGCGUUCCUCACAAGGCUCGCCGUCGAGCGCGCUCUCACUGCACGCUUGCAAGAUGCAAGGGAGUUCAUGCAACUAAAACUGUCACAGUCGAUGCGCGAGUUUCGGCUGCUCAAUACGAGUGCGGCAAGGGCAUUCAACUGCCUCAUUUUCCCGGACCGGAUGCGACUGGUGCCGCUUUUCACGCUAUGCGCAGCAAAGUCAGCUGCGCUUCGUGGACAGACGCGUGAUGUGAACGUGGACGAACGCAUUCACUCGAUAUAUGAAAUCAUGUCUGCACCUACUGAGGCUAUAUUGCGAAGGCUUUAUCCCGCUAUGUAUGCCUUGCACGUCAUGCCUCCAGAAGCUGGUUUCCCAAAUCAGGCUGGCGCAAUCGUGAUGCCUCCGAGAACGGUGCUGGCAGGUGAAAGAGUUGACGCAAGAGGCGCGUAUCUUGUUGAUGAUGGACGUCAUUGUUUGCUCUGGCUCGGAAAAAUGUUGGAUCACGGAUUUCUAAAUGCAGUAUUCGGUGCGCAAGGCCCUCCAAAGCCCGAUGUAGACUUCGAGCCCACGCUGGUGGAAGGGAUUCAGCUCAGUAAGCAAGUGUGUGGCGUGAUCGGCGAGAUACGACGAAGGGCUGCAAAUGGAUGUCAUUGCACGCUGACAGUGAUCAGGCAAGGCGAUCCCUCGGAGGCCCUUUUAUUCCCAUUGUUGGUCGAGGAUAGAGGUGCCGGGGGCGCAGGAGCCAUGUCGUAUGCUGAUUUUUUGAUCCAACUGCACAGACAAGUGGCGCAUGCUGGUGGACUUCAAUAAAACUUGUGACAUACGAGCUUUCGAGAUGUCGUGUCGUGAUGAGCGAGAUUUCCUUCGUUCGCUCGUGAUGUUGGAAUCUCACAGCGCUAAAGAAUACGAAGGUACAAAGGUACGAAGGUACCUUCACCUUGUGCAAAAGGGUAACACGUUCAGCGACCUGUGUGGAGAUUAAUAUAGAUAGAUGGUGUCCCUAGCACAAAACGGGCAGGGUACAAUUUGUCCUGCUCAAGGUUUUACUCUGUCAGGUCGAUUUUCUCAGUCUAUUUUCUUGGUCUAUAUUCUCAAAACACCAUUCUGCUUGGCCAUAACUUUUACGACCGGCUGGAAGUGGCUGGUAUUGCCCGAUGGUAUGUUACACCUUCGUAGCCUAUUUAUUUCGUUCUCAUAUGAAAAUGUCACUACUGGCUAGACCAACGACCUUGAAUUAUUUGAUACGAAGGUACCUUAACAAAUUUGAGCUCAAACCGAGAAAGCCUUGUUUUUUCCGAUAAACCAAUUUACAUCUCCUGAUGACUUGCAUAUUACCUUCGUACUAGCUAGCUAGCUGCAUGAUCGACUGCUGAGGCGAAGUCCAAAAAACGAGUGAUGAAAGUAUUCACGUCAUUCAACCUCAUCCCCCGUGCAAAUAGACUUAGCAUUUCAUGUAUAAAAUGAUACCUUCGUACCUUCGUAAAAGACGGGAUAUGGCAAAUGACCACUUUUUCGGAGGUACUGAAAUCUUACCCUGCACUGCUCUCAACGUUGGGUUGGAGUCGAAGAGCUCCAUUACCUGAGAAGGGAAAUCCCUAUUGAGCUGAGAAGAUGACCUACAGAAUCCGAUUAUCGCUCUACUUUUAAGUUCUCCAGGCUGCAGAUUGCUCCAUGUCACUAUCCUCUUCCCACCAGGUGCUAGUCUUGUAUCCAGAGCGAAGGGUCUUUAGUGGCGAACCGUCUGCAUCGCUCAAUCCGAUAGCAGUGAGCAUCUCUUGCUUUGCUUCGCCAAGCGUAAACCUGUCUUCGUCCUCUGCAAUGCAGACGAGUUCGCCCGUGUUUUGCUUUACCAUGACUUGCCACGGUGCUGGAUAUUCACGGAAAAUUGCCCCAGAAUAAUUUAUAACGAAAGGAGACACACUUAUGGUGCGCGAGUAGGCCCUUGUUCGCAGGUAGUAAACAGGUUUUAUCUUCGAAAGGAAACGAUAGUGUAGAUCUUUCUGAGGAAAAGAGAAAAGGCCGAGAUCUGCACGCAACGUGUCAAGCUCAUUGUUGAGAAACACCAGUGGCCUGUUGUCGGAAAGAAGGGAAAAGAAAUGUUCCGUGCCAGGCAGGUCAACCGUGGAUAGGUUGACAACGACAAAAAUAUCGGCAGUGAAGCCCUGGCAGUCGUCGUCAGUACUUGAGCGCGUCCGAAGUCCUUUGCCACUAAAAGUAUUAUCAAAAAAACUCCAGAUGUUUUCUGUCUUCUUCCCAUCAAGAGUGUUAAGCGCACAACCAUCAGAGAGCUCCAAAGAGUUCAAGAAAACCUUCUUGGCACGACGAUACUCAGGACCAUCGGGAACUAAUAUUUCACAGGUUUUACCAGUCUCCCUGUACACCUUAUUGAAAAUCGUGAGGGCAUACUGAAUAUUCAGGUCAAUGUAAACAUCCGAAGCUGCUUUGUAGCUCGCAUCCUCACCAGGUACGGAUGGGAAUUCCACUUCCAUCAACCUAAGACCGUCACGUAGACCAUCUAACACAGACUGGCUUGCGUGAAGGCAAAUAUCCUGAUACGAGGCUGGAUUAUAUAUGGGUCGCCCUUCCCUCCGAGACUCUCGAGCGCUCAUUUCUUGUCUUGCACUAUUCGUGAUCGUUUGUAUAGGACGGAAGUGCCUUCGGUUUCCUGACCACCUGAAAAUAUCCACCUGCGGUCGGAUGCAAGUGUUUAGCUUCGCCGCUCCCAACGUGAAAGGCGCAUUCAUGGUCUAUCCUCGUGGAUGAUGCUGUGGACACGUUCGACGCAAAUUUAUAUAUGGCUCGUCUUUUCCUCGGAAAGCUAUGGAAGGUCCAAAAAUGACACCCACUUCCGGGUGUGAGUGAAGAAGCGCAGCCACAACCGGUCAAUCGCAAGUCAGCGUUGCCUCUCGGUCGGUAACACUUACGAAGGUAUUACGAACGAGUGAAGGUACCUUCGAAUGAAGCAAGCAAGGUAUUACCUUCAUUCGUGGUAGAAUAUUAUCGAUUCGUAAUAUAGACCACUUUCCCUAUAUCUAUCGUUGACUCGUUGAUUUCAUUGACUCGUUGAUUUCGUUGACUCGUUGACUACUGUUGACUCAAAGUUUGGCGCCGAGCAGCAUCUUUGCAAGCGGCCAAGCGCGCUCGCCGUCCUCACAGGGCGCCAUAGGGAAAAAAAACACGCGCGACCCUGUUUUAGUCAACAGUCAACGAGUCAACGAAAUCAACGAGUCAACGAUAUAGGGCAUAUAUGGUAUACCUUCGUACGUAUAUAUAUGUACGUAUUUAUGUAUAUAUGACUUAUGUAUGUACAUAUAUAUCUAUAUUUAAUAUAUAUUAAUACGCCUUCAUUCGUUCGAAGGUAUUUUUAUAUAUAUACGUACGUACGUUCAUAUGAUACGUGCGUACGUACAUAGAUAUAUAAAUAUGACUUAAAUAUGUACCUUGCUUCGUGUAUCUUCGUUCAUUAUUUGGGACGAGCGCCAGUGACGAAGUCACAUUUAGUACCACAUUCUACCUCAACUUUUUUGGAACUAUGUAACGUUUAUUCGUGUUCUGAUUGGUCGAGAGCUCGAUCAUUUGCAAAGGUCAUAGACUAAACAACCGUACGGUCGUCGUUUGUUACUUUAUUGCUGACAACAAACAAAACUGUGCGAUGCCUUCCGUGUCUUUGGACGACGACUGUUCUGCGGGACGUCCUUAUCGUUGCGCUUGGCGUGCACGUAGUCGUCGUCCUCACACGCACGCCACUUGUGAACGAAGAGUCGACGCCAAGGCGUCUUCUGGUGAGGCGAUGGUAGACGUCGAAGUUGACCGAUGUAUCGAUGAAAAUUCAGCUUCAAACCAUAAUAAGUAGCCUUUCUCAAAGCGUCUUUCACCGAGGCUUCACCGAAGCUUCAUCGAGACUCGUCCCAAAUCAGCCUCCCGAACCGAACGUUCCUGUUCAUCAGUCUCACAGGGAGGCAGGCACCUACAUACGGAUUAGUUAUUAGUCUAUUAUUCGUUCGUACAAGUAGACUAGCUAGAUAGCUAAUAGACUAAUAAUAAUAAGGUACGUACCUUAAUCUUACUUAUAAUAUUACCAGUUAUAUUACCUUCAUUCGUAUUACUUUUUUUUUGAUACGGGUUAUUAUUGAGAAUCUAGGUGUUUACCACGAAUCCCGACCAACAAACCCCUAAAUUAGGAGUUCGUGACCGGGUACGGCUGCACGUAGUGUUCGUGUGCACCGUACAUUCCGCCACGAGCGCCGUGCUGGCGGUCGUUGGUGACGGUCGAUCCGGCGACCCUUUGCAUGAGCGAGAUGAUAAGCGCGACGUGUACGAGGGCGAGGUUGCGAAGGUGGAUUCGGUUUCGGAGCUCGUUCGGCGGGUCGAUGGAGUCGUAGAUGGCUUGCGUUCGCUCGUUGGCGUUGCCCGAGGCUCGGUGGGCGGUGGGUGCGGCGACGUCUUUGAGGAGGUUGGGGAACGGUUUGCCCAUCCGUCCGUACGUGUCCAUCACGAGCGGGAUGAAUUCCUUAUGCACCGCUGCUGCCAGAAUUUUCUGCUCUUCGUCUCCGAGGUUGCGGAUUCUGUCCCACGCGGGCCGCAUGUGUCCGUGGCAAGGGCCGCUUUGGCUGUGUUCCCGUCGACGAUGGGCGGCGGCGUUGCGUGCGCUGCGGCGCGGGCCUGGAUUCUCGUUGGCAAUGUCAGAGAGCGCAUGGGCUGUGUUGGCCAGGAACGGUGCGCAUGCUGCCCAGUUGGCGACCGCGGCCUGGUCUGCGAUGUGAGAGGUUUCGGUGAGGCCUUGGCCGCCGUGCCUGAGGGGCAGGGCGAUGCGUCCGCGGGUGACUUCGUCAGCCGUGUCGAGUUCUUCGGUCAUGCCAGCGAUGCGUCCAAACGCGCCGAGAAUGUCCCUGUAGGAAUCGUUGAAAGCUUGGGGGGCGAUGUUGUAAGGAACGCACUGGAGGAGGAAGGUAAUCCUUGGACAGGCGCAUAGCCGCAGCAGCAGGAGCGCCUCUUGUGCAUGGCCGGCCUCGCCGAACUUGGCGAUGUGAUCGAGGCGGGCGCGGUGCUUGUCGACGAUGUCAGCGACGAACUUUGCGGCGUAUUCCGGGGAACCGACGGGGGCGCCGACGAUGCGGGCACCGGAGUCGCCGCCGCGUUCCUGGCCGACGUCGACGCCGGCGGUAUUGAUGAUGUUGAUCUGGCCGUCCAUUCCGGUGAGCUCGGUGGUGUCGAUUUGGCGGCAUUGCGAUCCCAGGAGGAUGUCGAUUUUCUUGACGGUGAGGUCGGCGUUCAGUCGUAGGCUCUCUUGCAGGCGUAUGGCAGCUUGGAUGAGUUGUCCGGGUUCGCCCGCGGGGUUGAUGUCGUCCGCGAUGCAGUAUGCGUGUGCGCCCUGGACGGAGGUGGACGCGAGCGCCUCUUCGAUGAUUGGCUGGAUAGCCAGGCAGAAGAAGGCUGACCCCAGAACACAACCCUGAGUGACACCUGUCUUGGCGUUGACACGCUUGCGUUCGCUCGCGGUGAUGGAAGGGUUUCGACCAUGGACGGGUCUAGUACCUAGGCGACGCGACGAGGCUGCGUGUAACGCGCGCCCGUACCUUAUUAUUACUUCGUACCUUCGUUCGUAACGGUUAAUAAAAAAAUUCUCCAUGGGGCGAGUGUUGUGGUGGUAUGGUUUUCUGCAAACACUGAUUUUGGGGUUCGACCCCAAGUGGUCGGCAUAGCCGCGUCGCGCGACGCGGCGGGCACGUGCGGUCGUGGUCGCGACCGUCGUCGUGGUCGUCGGGGCGUCGCGUCGUGCGAGAUGGGAUGCGCGCCUAUCAAAUUUCGUGAUUUCAAAGCGAACCACUCACCCAGGCGCGAUUUUUUUGUACCUUCGUACCCCAUAUGAGAGGUCAUAAUUCUGCAUCUGCACCAAAACAAGUUGGGCCGCACAGCUCUAUUUCUAUCAACUGGAGUCUGACUAGUCGAGAUGGCAUGCACGCUGGGCUGCGUGCUAAGCUGGCUCAAAGGGAGACUUGGUUGUAAACGCACGGGCAGUGUGACAUGGUUGCACAUGAUCGUAAGCUUCGAAGUAUUCUAUCAAAAUCAAAACUAAACCCCAACAUACAAGCAUUAUCUUCUCAAAAUAAAAAGAUCGGAAUGAUCAGAUCACCGUUCCCGCCCAAGCUGACGCUACAUCCCAUGCAGUGAUCCAUCAUUUCCAUACAGCAACGCCGCCACAACGAGCAGAGUCGCAUUCCAUGUCAUCUCACACGCGCACAAACGAAGAGCAAGUCACGUCACGGAAACCAUAUGAUCUUUUUCGUCGACUUGAUAGAAUUAACAGUGACGAUCUCAACCUCAGAGGACGGCAGCAACAACAGAGGUCCAGCCCAAUCACGAUUCAGAUGACAGUCCAACUCACGGCGCUGUGAUAUAUUUUCCCGUGCAUGUCGGCUACCCAAUACCAACCUUUGCAGGUUUAACAUUGAAUUUCAAAAGGCAUAACCAAACAAUAUAGAGAAGGGAUCAGGUUGCGUCUUUCUCGUCAAGCCCCCAGUCAUCGCCGUCACUAUUCACAGCUUCGCCAGCCGGUGCGCUUUCGACUGGUUCUAGUACCUUGGAACCGACAACUGAACUGUUUGACAUUAGCUGUGCAUUUGAGGAGGCCGUGGCGACAGGUCUGCUGUUGACAGUGUCCAAAGAGCAAAUUUGCGUCGCAUCAUCAACGUCACUGGGAACAACAUCUACCUCUAUGUUUUCGUCCACCUUUUCGAUGAGGUUUUUUGACACGGGAAGAUUAUCAUGUUCUCCAAAGCAGCGGGCUAGCUUUCUUGAACUAGCCGGAACUGAUCGAAUUUUCUCUUCAGCAUGCAUAGCAAGAUCAAAUUUGGGAAACAAAUUUUUGUACUCUGUGGGGUCAGCAAGAGCAUCUGCAGCCUUCCUGUUCACAAGAGCAAGGUCAGCUUUCCAGAGCUCCACGACAUUCGAAACCUUCGAUGGGGCAUAUGUGCGAGACAUGAAUGCAGCCUCUGGAAUGCGCCCAGUGUCGCAUAGCAGCUCAAUGCAAUCAUCAAUUUUGUUGAGGAGAAAGAGACAGAUAAAUGCAACGUUAUGUUUACCCCACUGCCUAGCAAGAGUGGCGAGCUCUUCAAGUUUUACUGCAGAAGCAGAAGCAGAGCAUAAAAGUAGCUGACCAGAAAGAUCGCCGGCAUUGACGAGACAAGAAGAAGCAAGGUGGAUAUCACCCAAAGACAUUGCAAGCUCUCCGAGUUGCUUCCAUUUGGCGCUCACAGAUGAUGCGAGUUCGUUUUCGAUGAUUCCUCGAGCAAUACUGAGUUCUCCGAGUUGCGUGGCAAGCUCGAAUCGAUAGUCUGGGUCUGUUGCAACUCGCAGUGCAUCUGCCACAAACCCACGUGAUUCCAGAAACCGAGCGAUGUUAUUGUACUGCUCUGUUGGAAUCGUCGGCAAAAGCUCUUCCGCAGCAUCGACCUCUCCCCGCAAAAUCAACGUCUUGUACUCAAUCAGGCUCAAUGACAGAGUAUAUGAAACGACAGAGAAUUCCUUGUCAAUAAGAUAAACACGGCUCUGCGCGGCAAGGUAUCCAAGCAAGUACAUAGGUCGAUCCAAGUGAAAGAUAGUGGUCACCUCUCCUCCCACGCAAUAGUUCAAACGCCAGUCUGCAUUGUUGUAGAUGAAGCAAUCACCUACCCAUACCGCAGUGCGAAUGAUCUCUCCAAUUUCAAUCAGCAGCUCAAAAGCAUCCUCAACACCUUCGUUUUCAUCGACAUCACCUUUUUGGAGUGCGUCCGUGGUAUUCUGGGCGUUGUAUCGAAGAAUGAAGAAUGACGAGUCGCUUGCGAUCGCCACAAAAUCUCCACUGUCAGACCACCAAACAUCUUUCACACUCACGUCGAGACGACGGAUCACUCGAGACUCUGCCCAAUCAUAAAAACAAAUAAAAUCUGUCGAUCUUAAACCCAGAAGAACUCCACCAUAAAGUCCUUCAGCGGCAAAGUGUGGGCGAAAAGUUGUUUUCUCCUUGAACUGAUUGUAAAUUCUAAUCUUCGAUGGCGACUCGCGGACAGCAAACUCAGAUGAAUCCACUGACCAUCCAAAAUCCAGAGCUGUUCCAAAAGAUUUGUUCCGCCAUGCUAAAGCUGUGUAGAUGACGUAUUCACCAUCUCCACACACCGUCACAAAACGACCGUUAGGUCCAUGCAUGAGACUUUGUGGGUACAAGUCGCAGCUGCCGAGGUCUUUGAUGGCCAAGGGAAGCCGAUCCCCGUCCUGAAUAUCAUAUUCAGCAGGUAAAGAUUUGACAUUGACUGUCUGGAUAUCAUUGUGUUUUGACCAUAUUAUCCUGCCAUUUGUGUCCAUGGAGGCUACGGGGUCUUCUCGACCGAUUUUAAACAUCACGGUCCCUUCAUCAUAACCCACAGAAACUGAGUUAGAUCCCUUCAUCACAGCUAUGGCCCAUACUCGCUCCAGACCAUAAUUCAGGGUGUUUUCGAGACGAUAUGUUAAGCUGUGCCAGAUGCGAAGAGUGCCAUCUUCUGAGCCAGAUAUGAUAACGGGGAGUUCAGGAUGAAAGCAAACGGAAGACACAUUGUGAGCAUGCCCAUCAAGAGUCUGCACGCACGAUUUUGUCUGAAAAUCCCAAAUUUUUACGAGCUUGUCAUCAGCACCAGAAAUCAGGUACGGCCUGUCACCACCACCAAAAUACUCAACGCAGUUGACGCCCUUUUCAUGUCCCUCGAGAGUGAAGUUUGGGCUACUCUGACCAAUGGACCAGACUUUAAUCGUUCGAUCGAGUGAGGCCGAAGCAAACGUGUUAGUAUCCUUGGGGUUGAACACGACUUGCAUCACAUAGUGGGAGUGCCCUUCAAAAAUCUGAGUGCAGACCCAAUUGUUUUCCCAGUCCCAAAGUUUGAUAAGCAUGUCAUCUGAGCUUGUCAAGAGAUAGGGUAGGGUGGGGUGCACAGACACGCAUCGAAUGUAGUCAUUAUGUGCUUCGAAUGCCUUGACAAGUUCCGUGGUAUUGUAGUUGUAGACGCGCACAAACAUGUCAUCCGAUCCACAAACAAUCCACUGCUUGCGGGCGACCCAUUUAGCAGCACGAGUGGGUAGCUCUGUGACUUCAAAUGAUUUCACCAGAGAAUUUGUCUGGUGGUUCCAGAUGUAGAUGUUUCCGGUGUAAAGGUUCGCCAAUAUCCAUGGUUCUGUUGGAUGAAGUUCCACCCCCUUAACUCUGUCGGAACGCUGGACAAGCUUUCGCUUAAUAUCUAAGCGCAGCGGCAUAGCGGUUUCUCUGAAAAUGGUCGGUGGAGAAAUACGUGAGCUACGAAGAGGCAAAGAACGACCACUUCUUCGACAACGUUGCGACACAAUGCUGCUAGAGGACAAAGGGAAUAUACAAGGAACAUUUCGGAGCCCUCCAAAACGGCUCCAUUGUGGUGCAGCAGCAACGUCCCCCGAUGAUCAGGCAAAGAUCUAUGGAAUGUUCAGGAUAAUAGGGAUCUAUGGAUUACCUGCUGGGUGCGGUACGUCGCAGUCAGCCACGUGAAAUUGCAAAUGAUGGUCCGAUUUGCGUGUAUCCUCACAGAAGCUGACCCUGAAAACAAAAAGAGAGUUUGGAAAACCACUUCAGCACGGAUUUCAGGUCGAGUUCUCUAGGAAGGACCGUCGAAAAGGUGUUCGUAUGCUUUCAGUGCAAGGGCGUAGUGACAUAGUAACGAACGAGAAGAAGAAAACGCAAGUUCAAUCAAAGGUGCUGAGCUUGGAUGGUUUGAACGAGUAACUUGAAGGUCGAACCCUACGCACGACGGUCAACCCUACGCACGAUGUUCGUCACAGAAAAGCAGCGUGCGAGCUCUGGCAUGCUACCAGCGAACAGGUCCACUAACUUACUCUGGAUGAUGCCUCGCGUAAGAAUACGCGCAGGUAAAGUUAUGGAUACGCGUCACUUCAAAGUCGCACUGAAAACACUGAACACCUCGAUGAACCAGCGGUAAGCCUUCUGCAUUUAUUACCUUCGUUCGUACCUUCGAAUGAAGGUAUUUUAUAUAUUAUUACGAUAUACAGUACGUAUAUUAUUACGCUGAGACAAUCCAUAAUAUUAUUUAUUAUUAUAAUUAUUGGCCGAAUGAUGAAUAACGAAUAAUAAUAAAAAUAUACUAAAAAUAUCAUAUAUAUUAUCUCUUUUUCUAAUAUAUUACCUUCGUAUAAUAAUACCAACGUAAUAUAUUUCUCCUAAGGUCGAAUCAAUCGUCUGUGUGAUCGUCUGUGUGAUGAUCGUGUGGUGUGAGAAUUCAUCCUCUGGGUGGUCGGAAUAGCCCCGAGGUAUGUAUGUGUGUAUAUUUAUAAAUAUGUAAAUGUAAAUAUCAAACCCUAUUUAAAUACCUGUUUAUAUGAGUAAACAUUGUGUGACAACUAUAUGGGACACUGACUCAAGGUUCUCGAGCUAAAAAUCCAAAAAUGUCAACAAUGUAUGGAACGGAUAGACCAUCGUUCUUGAUUUAAUGGUGUCAAAAAUGUCAACAACUAUAAGGAACGCUAGACCAUCGUUCUUGAUUUAAUGGUGUCAAAAAUGUCAACAACGUAUGGAACAAAUAGACCUUCGACCUUGAAAAACGAUACCAGGUGAUUAUUGUUACAUUUUGGAAGUUAAAAGGUCGUGCUAUGCCGAAUAUUAAAUAUCGAAAUAUAAAUAAAUAAAGCCAAGACGCUAAGCUAUAUAUUUUAUUAUUUAAUAACAUCAUAUCAUAUAUAUAUAUCUUCUAUAUAUCAUAUUAUUAUCAUAAAAAGUUACGAAGUGAAAACGAAGGUAUAAAAAAUACCUUCAUUCGUACGAAGCAGGUAACACGAAGGUACGAAUGAAGCUAUAUUCGGCAUGUAUAGCCGAUCGAUUCUACUGGAAUCAAAUUACAAAAAUGUCGGGGAGGUACCGUUGAGAGACCUGGUAUCGUCAACCAGGAGUCACGGUUUAUUCGUUCCUUACAUUGUCCGGUGGUAUCCUUUACCAAGAACCUCGGGUCUAUUCGUUCCAUAUACAUUGUAUUAACUUUUCAUUUUCAAUUCGACAACGUUAUUAGUUAAAACCUUAUUAUUAGUUAACACGACUAUCUAUGUGAUUAUUGAUAUCUGUUACAGAUCUGUCACCUGUGUGUGUUCGUCUUUUAACUACAAUCAACCCUUAACUACAAUCAACCGCCGACGUAUGAGCAAACACACAUCAUCGCUAAACUAAUAAUGUUCACGGAUUAAAAAAAAGGUCAUGUUGCAUCGGUUCAGCAGCCUGAAUUUUUGUUAUUUACCUUCGAAGGUAUAUGAUGUAUGCAUAUGGUACGUUUCGUAACUUGCGAGUAUCGCGAAAUGGCGACAUUCUGCAGUUGGAAGGUUCUGCAGUUAAAUUUCCCAGUUAAAUUUCCCAUAACUUCAAGGAUGUUUCGAUUGAAUCAAGAGGGUCGCAUGGUACAGGGCGUUGGGCGGCGUACAUGCGCCGUGCUCAUGGCCGCUGAUGCACUGUAGGCACGGCGUGCAUCACUGAGAGGGCAUCGUGGAACUUAGAACGGUUGUUCUAUCGAUGACGAGGCGCUCGAUUGCGGGAGAAACCCUGUCUGGACUGCGAGUCCUCGCAGUCCCACUCAAGCCGCGGAUUAUAAAUUUGCACGUUUUAUAUCGUUUCACGUCAUCAGAAAUCAUUUUUGGGGGCUGCAGCUCGAUUCGAGCGAAUAUAUGCUACAACUGACCGUUUCUAAUCCAAAUUUGCACUUCAAAAAUCUCAAAUAAAAUCAGCUCUCGACGGAACAAAUUCUACAUUUUCUAAUUCGUUGAUACACACCCGGACAUCCCAAGUGGUCCACCCUCGGAAAAUGAGCGAUGUGGAAAUCGUGGGUUUUUUUUAAAUCAGAGGCUGGUUCGAUUUAAACCGCCAAUCGAACCAGCCUCUUAAUAAUAUACGAAGGUACGAAUAAUGAAGGUAAUUAAUUAUGUGGUUAAUAAUGUCGAGGGAUACUAAAAUUUUAAUUCCUGAUGAUCUGACUGAUAAUUAUCGUGCUCGGAGUUCUCCAUUGGGCCUGCUAAAGCCCCGCGCGAUACGUAUGACGGAGGCCCACAAACCUUCGCAGGGGCAAUAUUUUGGGAAUAAUGAUCGAACAUGGAACUAGAAUCAAGUUCUCACCGCUAUAUGGAGUUCAAGGUAUUGGUUUACCUCGGCCAAGAUUCCUCUUCCUACUACACUACCUCGACGUGCCGAUAGCGUACUCGUCUUAGGAUAGCCCUGUGAUCUCCACGUCUUAUUUAUUCAGGAUCGCGUCCCACCUUAACCGAUCACAGGCGAGGAUCCUUUCUGCUACGUCCUUGACUUGGACGGCUUUAAAAUCCUACUUGAUUGCGGGUGGAAUGAUAGUUUCGACGUGAACUUGCUAGAGCCUCUUGCAAAAGUUGCAGCGGAGGUAGAUGCCGUUCUCAUCUCCCAUCCCGACACUGAACAUUUGGGCGCGUUACCGUAUGCAUUUGGCAAGCUUGGCAUGCGUUGCAAGGUAUACGCAACGCUCCCUGUGCACAAAAUGGGACUUAUGUUCAUGUAUGAUCACUUUCUUUCGCGCAACGCGAAUGAAGAUUUCAGAGUCUUUACACUUGAUGACAUAGAUACUGCCUUCAGCGCUUUUGUACCAGUGCGAUACGCGCAACGAUCAGCUCUAGUCGGUCACGGGGCCGGCAUUACAAUCACCCCAUAUGCAGCUGGACACAUGCUGGGGGGUGCGCUUUGGAAGGUGCACAAAGAAACAGACGAUGUUGUUUACGCUGUUAACUUCAACCAUAGAAGGGAGAAACACUUGAAUGGAACCGUUCUAGAAUCAAUCAAACGACCGGCAGUGCUCAUUACUGAUGCAUCCAAUGCACGACGACUUCCUCCAUCCAAAACGCGAGAAAAUGACUUGAUUGAAGCCAUAUUGCGCACUGUGCGGCAAGAUGGUAACGUGCUCAUCCCAAUUGAUCCUGCCGGUCGUGUCCUGGAACUUUUACUGGUUUUAGAAGAAAGAUGGUCGCAAAAGCAACUUGCAGCCUACCAGCUCGUAUUGCUCACUAAAGUGGCGUACAAUACUCUUGAGUUCGCCCGUAGUCAUCUUGAGUGGAUGGGUGAGCAUGUUGGUCAAUAUUUUGACAGGGAGCGCCACAACGCCUUUAACACCCGUCACUUAAAACUAUGCCACUCUAUUGAUGAAUUCCGCGCGUUGCCUCAAGGACCCAAAGUUGUCCUCGCGUCAUUUGGUUCCCUCGAUGCUGGGGCAUCCCGACAUAUAUUCGUGGAGUGGGCCCCAGACCCUCGAAAUUUGAUAGUUUUCACCGAUAGAUUGCAACCAGGCUCACUUUCACGCGAGGUAUGCAGAUUAUCACAGCUGCCACCCGGUGCACGAUUACCUCUGAGGAUCUCUCUGUCGCAAAGAUUAAAACUCGUUGGUGACGAGUUACUUGAAUGGCAGGGGAAGGAAAUUUCAAGAUCGCAAGCAUUGGUCCCGAUUAAAAGUUCAACAAAGUAUAGGGUUUUGAGGGAACCCAAACCAGUGAUUGAAUCAUGUAAACCUAAUUUGGAUACUCAAUGUACAACAAUGCAUUCUCAAGCCUCGCAUCGCGGUGGUCGAUGCUACGUGCUUGAUGGCAUUAACCAAGUCAACAAUGCAAAUGUUGCGAUCUUUGACGAUGAAUCAUGGUAUCCAAAUGUGCUAGACUUUGGAGAGACAAUCACAUCUGAAACCUUUGAAGGGUAUGUCCAAAUCGGAUUGCAAAACGACCACCGCAGCGGCGAUCGCAUCGAAGAAAGACCUGGAGAAUUCGGUCAUACCUCAGAUCCUGGAAGGGUUUACCCCGAUACACAAUUUAUGGGACUCGAAGAUAGUCCGACAAAAAUAUUGACAGAAACGCAUGAUGUCUAUUUGCGGGCGGCUGUGCAUAUAUGCGACUUUGAAGGCAACUCUGACGGUCAUAGCAUCCAAACCAUUCUAACUCAUUUAGAGCCACGCCGAGUAAUACUUGUUCGUGGUAACCCAUCAGAUACCGACUUUCUGCGCAUGCAGCUUCAGAAGUCACUUUUGCGGGCAGAAAUCCAUGCGCCGAAACAAUCUCAGAUGGUUGAAUGUAUCUCAGAAAACACGACAUUUCGCCUUGAGCUGUCCCAGGACCUCUUGUCCCAUACCCAUAUGCGCGAUGUGGCGGGAUAUCAAGUUGGUUGGGUGGAGGGCAAUGUUUUGAUAUCCAGAGGAGGAGGUGACCCUGCAGCUACACUAGUCCCAGCCAAGUCGGGAAUGAUUUGCGAAGCACAGCGCACUGGACUGCAACCAAAUACCGGAGCAUCUCAAACUGCGACAAGGGAGACAAGAACACAAGACGCUCGCGUUGGUUUAGACUUCAGUCGUGAAAUAGAUGAGCAAUCGACAGCUUCAGAGCUUUUCCUAGAUGAACUUGUUGUGAAAAAACCUGCAGCACUUGUUGGAAGCCUCAAACUUAGUGACUCUAGGUUGGCGUUGGCGGCAGCAGGUUGCGCAACUGAAUUCCGUGGAGGCGCGCUGAUGUGCACAGGAGACAAAGUACGUGUUAGGAAAACGGUAAAUGUGAUGGGUGCAGAAAACCUUCUACUCGAAGGGAAUCUGUGUGAUACAUUUUUCAGUGUACGUUCGACGUUGUACCAUCACCACCAAGUAUAGGUGAGAAAAAUCAAAUCAACGGGUGAAGUCGUCAGACGGGCUCUUGAGGGACCAUGUAUGCAUGGCCACAAAUGCAGGUAGAAGGCGAUACACAUCUCCCGAGCCCGCCUGGCUAGGUGGAAAACCAGUAUGACGUCUGCCAACUUGAAAUUUAGAAAACACGAACGAAACUUUAUUAAUCGGCGGCCUUAGACUAUAUAUAGAUACUUUUAUAUAUUUUAAGGGUUACAUAUAUACUCGAAGCAAGGAUAUAUAUGUAUAUACCUUGAUAAUAAUAAUAUAACUAUUAUAUACCUCAUCAUAUAUAUGAAUUUAAAAAAACUCUCCAGGUAGGGGUCGAACGAACAGACAGAUAGACAGGGUCAUGGACGUGAUCUGUUGAGGGGGUCUGUCCCCAGGUGGGUCGGCAUAGCCUACGACCAACGUGAGCGCAGUGCUGAUGGCGCCGUUUACGCCGCGGAUGCAGACGUACGCGAGACGUGCGCCUCGAGCAGACUCUCGGACUGACGAACACACACAGGUGACAGGUGUGUACAAAUAUUAUUAGUCACGUAAAUAGUCGUCUUUAAGGGUAA